rnacentral:lncRNA from 1 species
UUUUUUUUUUUUUGUUUCCUCUAAUUCAAUAGCUAUUAAUUAAUUUGCCAAAACCAAUCAUUUCAUCAUCAAUCUAAAAAAACUAUUUUUUUUUACAAAUAAAAGACCCUUAAAAUAUUUAACUUUAUUGCUAAAUAUUAUUCGUGUACGACACUAAAUCACGUAGUAAUCUCAAAUGGAAUAAUUUCCACUCUAGUCUUUUGUAAUUAUUAAUUUUUUUCCUAAAGGGCUAAUGGUUAAUUCUUUAAUUUAUGCUAAUUUUAUCUUUUGAUUAACAGAUAUAUAAUUUUCAUUUUACACACUUCAAAUGAAUCAAUAAUUUAGUUCAAGUUUUUUUAUAGCAAUAACUUCUUCUUUUUUAGAUUUUAACUCAUAAAAUUUUACAAUUUUAAUUUAACCCCUAAAAAGUUAUUACGUAAAUCUUUCGUAAAAUAAACUCACUCUUAUAAUUUAUACGUGAAAGUAGGAACUAGGAAACUCGUACACGACAAGUUGAGAGAAUUCUUCUUUUAAGAAAAAAGAGUUAAAAUAUACUCAUGUCCAUGUACUCUUUUUAUGUUAAGAAUUUAGUCCCUUUAUUUUUAUUUUAAGAAAUCCAAUCUCUCUAUAUUUUAGAUUUAAAAAUGUAAGUUUAAUUGUUGAUAAUGUUAAAAUUAUUCAAUUAAAUUUGGGUUCAUAACAUUACCUUUUGUUACAUGACUAUCAAGAGAGUAUUUUUAUUAUUAUUUCAAAAUAUUAUACUAAUAAAUUUAACAACAUUAAUAAUUGAACUCUAAUUUUAAAUUUUAAAAAGAAAAAAUAAAAAAAGUACAGGGACUUGAGAUAUAUAUAUCCUUUGAGCUGCGACGCUGACUCAACGUCUUGACCAUUAAGAAAAUAAGUCCAAAAUAAAUAUAGUUUUCAAUAGUCAUUAUUAAUGAAUUUUCAACUUUGAGCUACGUUUGACCCAAAAAAACAAACAAACUUUGAGCUAUGUGAUUUCGUAUAAAUAAAAUAUUUUGUAACACAAUAUAAUAAAAUAUAUUGUAAAUUACAAAUAUUGGAUAGUUUUUAAUAUAAAUAUAUAACAUAUAUAAAAAUAUUCAAAUGAUAUUGGAAUAAUUAUAAGCAUGAUCUAAACAUUAAACAAUCAAAGAAAAUUUAAUAAAAUGCUUCAAAUUGCCAAAUUGGAUGUCACUUGUCAGCUUCGUGUCACCGGGUUCAUGAUAUGGCUGCUAAUCCUUAUCCAUCUCCAACACUAUUAUAUUAUUUAUUAUUUAAUAUGUGAUAUAAUUAUUAGCUCAAUUGACAUAGAUAUUAUUACUAAUGUAAGAGGAUGUGGAUUUCAAUAUGUUGAAACGCGUUAUUCUCAUAUUUAUGAGUUGAGGAAUGAUUAAUAGUAAUUUUAGGUAUUGUGUCAAAAUGAACAGAUAUGAUCAGAAAAAUUAAAUUGUUCAAAAAAAAAUGAUAUAAUUGCUUACCAAAAAUUAUAUUAAUGGUCUUUUGUUUCUUAAUUAGUCAAAUUAGAUGAUAAUAUAACAUAAAUAAAUUUUUAAAAAUAAAUUCAAAUAAUUCUUAUAUAUGUUAUCAUAUAAUUUAUUAAUAACAUACAUUAUCGAUAUAUCAAAUAUAUACAUCUAAAAAAUUGUUUUAUAGUUUAAUGUUUUAAAAGGUGACAAUAGCAACCGGUUAAUUUAUUGUUGUUAUGUCUUUUAUUAUGAAUAAUGAGAUGUCUUAUCCUUCUAUCAAAACUUAAUAAUUUUAAAUAUAUUGAAAAAUCCUAUAGAAUAGAUCUGUUUGGUCGGGUCACUUGGUUAGAAGGUUCGCCCAAAAAGUAGGAAAAUUUAGGUAAAAAUAUAGACUCGAAAAAUGAGCUUGGAAAAAAAAAAUAAGCCUGUUUAGAAAACGGGUUAAGCCUCAAGUAAUUUUUUUUUUUUUGCCCAAGCUCAGCCUAGCUUGAAUUUGCAAAAAAAAAAUUGUUGUUUUGCUGUUAUUUUCUUACAGUUUUGUUGUCAUUUUACUAUUUUGUUGUUAUUAUUUAGAUAUUGUAUAACUUUUAUUUUAUUGUUAAUUUUGCUACUAUUUUAGAGACAUUUGUUUGUUAAGUUGUACUUAUCUUAGUAUUAUUUAAGUAUAAAGACUUUUAAUUAAUUUUCAAUUUGUUAGGAAAUAAUUAUUUUAAUAUAUUUAGUGUUUUUUUAAUAUUUUUAUAUUUUUUUAAAUUAAAAACAUGUUUGGUAAAAAAAGUAAAAAAAAAAGCUUCCAAUGAAAAUAUAUUUGAUUUUUUUUAUAAUUAUAAAAACAUAAGAACUAAAAUUUAAAAAAUCAUGCAUUUAUAUGGAUUUGGAUUAGGGUAACAAAUUUGGUGUUUAAAAUAGUUGAAAAAUAUAUUUUUCCAUAUUUUUAAAUUUGUUAUAAGAUUUAUGUUCGAUAUUUGUGACUACCACCGACAAUAUCUUCUCCAUAGUUCGUGAGUGAUCCUUCGUUUUCUAUAAGCAUAUUGCUUAUUAAGAAGAUAAGUGCAUCACUUUCUCACUUUAAUGAGAAAAGUGAGGUAGGCCUUGUCACUACACCCUAAAAAAGAAUUUUUAAACUAGUUAAAAAAAUUACACAUAUCAUCUUGACAUGGCUGGGUAUAUGAUAAUAAUCUAUACCAAUUUUAAACUAAUUAAAAUAUUUUUAAAAAAAUGGUAAAACAUGGAAUCACUAAAGCCCAGAAAUGUUCAACUCUUAUUCUAGCAGUGGGAUACACUGUAUAGAAUAUCUGAACUAUGAAGAAAUGAAAUAAAAGAAUGUAAGUUGCAGCACAUGGGCUUUCUUUUCUUUUUUCUCUGGCUGCUAUUUUUCAUCAGUGAACACUAGUGAGACUGAAGCAAGCAGCAGCAUUCUUCAAUUCAUUAUUGGGAACAAGUUCAAUUGCUUGUGUUGUUUCUUUUGCUGAAUCUUCACAACUGCACCAUUCAAACCCACACCAUCAAUCCUUAAAUCCCAAUUUAAUUCACACACACAUAUGAUCAUAUAUAUAUAAUGAUUACCUGGAAUCAUAAGGUUCUUUAGAAUGAAUAAAAAAUUGUCUGUCAUCGAUAGUAUCGAAGAAAGGAUGAAGUUCAUCGUAAUCUUGAACAACUUCGUGUUGUAUAACUAAAGGCUGCGUGUUUGAAACCAACAGCUGAGAUUGAAUUGCCAUUAAUGGAUUAUUCUCAUUGCUGUUGGAGCUGCUGCUAUUGUUUGUAGCAAGAAAAGGGUGUUGAAUCCACAAAGAAUUAUUAUUAUUAUUACUAUUACUAUUACUAUUACUUUUAUUAUUAUUUUGGUCCUUAGAAUCUACGUAAGAAGAGCAAUAACCAAUGUUAUUACUGUUAGAGUAGGAAUGUUGCAUCGAAACCGGCAUGUCCGAUACGGCGGUGAGAAAAUGUAGACCGUUCGUAGGCGGUGCCAUGCCUAGCUCUAGUUGCGAAGGCACCUCGUGGUGAUGUUGUCUAUACAUUUCGAGUUGUGAAAGCACGGAGUGGAAUUCCUCUUCGAGUAACUGAAUUUGGUAAUAAAGCUGACGGAUGACACCCAAACAGCCGUAAACGGGGAACUUGUCACGAACAUUAGCUUGGUAUUUAAUAGAACGCAUGGCUUCUGCAUGUUGAGAAGGAUCUAAACUUUUAAGGAUUUUAACGAUGUUGCUAACGCCGAAUAAUUUGUGGGCGUUUUGGAAGACUUUGGUUUGGUCGGCAGGGAAAUAAGGGGCGAGGAGACAUUCGGGGAUGCAUUUUCGCCUUUGGUAUUUGCAGGCGGCGCAGGCGCUGGUGGUGCCACUUUUGAGGGUCAUGUUUGCAUGGUAUCAUUAAACAGGGUUAACUGUGGGGGUGAAACACUAAACGGAGAAGAAGGAGCAAAGAAAAUAGGGGAAGGGGGGGAGUUGAAACUGAAAAUAGGGGUUUCGAAAUUUGGGGUGAAAAGGUCUGAUAUCAGCGGAUUUGGUGGAUGUAAAAAAAAGACCGAGUAAAAAAGAGAAAAGGCGUAAUUGGAAAUGGGAAGUUGGGUUGGGUUUCCAAGUGUGUGACCGUUAGCUUAGGGGACAUAUAUUGGGGAAUUUAGGAGAAUUCUAAUUUUAAGGGGCUGCCUUAGGUUUAGGGUUGGGUACUUGUGUGUCACAAGUGUCGACGGUGGGUAACUUGGCAAGCAGCUAGUGCAAGAUUUUAACGUUGAACCUUUAAUAAAUAAUUAUAUAUAACACAGUAAGAUAUAUGCGAAUGAUUCUUGCAUUUUCCUUUAAUGAAGCAUAACAUAAGCUUACUUUUAAUUAUAUUUUAUAUUUGAAAUUAAAGUUAAAAUUUAUUAAUAUAUAUUUAUUCAAUAUUCUAAUUUAAAAUUUAAAAAAGUUUGAUUGUAUCUUAUAUUUAAUGAUUUAAUCCAUUCACUUAAUUUUCAAAUAAUCGCAUAUUUCAAAGAUUAUGAUUGUAACUUCUAGUAUAAUUGUAGCUUUUUAAAACUAAACUGUGUAUUUCAAAUGAAAAACAAAAAAAAAAAUCUUGUUAAAUCCAAAAUAGCAUCAAUUAUCUUAAAAUUUAAAAAAAAAUCAAAAUUUUAUAGUUACAUAAGUAUCAAAACAUAUUUUUUUAAUAGUCUCCUGCUUAGAAUCAUGAAUCCAAAAAAAUGGCAAAUAUCCUCAAUUCAAAUUAUUAUUAUGGUGAAAACAUUUCAAAUUAUUUUAAUCUUACAUAAUGAAUAAUAGUUUAUAUUUAUAAUUAAUUAUUCAUUAACAUUCAUAAAUAAUAUUUAUCAUUGACAAAUAACUUUGAAAUCCAUAAUGCAAUAAAAAAUUUCUAUUCGUAAUUAUUAUACAAAAACUCGAGAGUGAACCCUACUUAGUUCAUAAAACCAUGAUUGAAGAAAAGCAUCUACUAAAUUCUCAAAAAUAGUUACAAAUACGGCAAUGGUUGGUAGGAAAAUGAAGAGGCAGUGAAUGGGUGCAAUUUCUUAACACAGAUGUAUGUAUAUUUCAAAAUAGCAACAGCAUCAGGGUGACAACAAAAUUUUACUAUAAGCUGAAAUAUCAUGAGUUGAACACCGUAGGGUCCUGAUGUUGACCCAUACUUAACCUUCUCUUCAAAAUAUAUUGGGGGAAAUAAUCUUUUGAACCAAAAAAAAAAAACCAUCUACAACGGUUUCCAUAUCUAAUAUCUUCCCCACUUAUAUAAUUGCUAUAUCCUCCUGUCAACAAUCCUUGCUGCAUUACAUUCUCAUUCAAUAAUGCCAUUCAUGGCUACCCAUUCAUAUAAUAUUUCAGGGGUCUUUUUCCCCCUCGACCGGAGCCACUUUAUCAGGAAGUUCCAAAAUUCUUUGGUACAUCAUAUCUUCCCUUAAAAACGACUUCACUUUCUCCUACAAAAACUCAAAGGAGUCCCAAAAUUCUUCCCUUUCUUUUAUACAUCACAACUCUGGAUUUACCAUAACAAAACAUCUCUGGCUUUCCUCUGGAACCAAUUUUUGCAUAUUUUUACAGUAUAAACUGCAAUGUGACUAUGAACAACACUUCACUUGAUAGCGAACCGAUGCCAAAACCCAUGUUAAGCUCAAUGCUAUCUUUGUGUAUCAAAUAUUAUGACAAGAUUCAACAAAAAAUUCUUUAGUUUACAGCUUCGAAGAAAAGAACCUGUGGUUGCAAGCGCCCCCGUUCACACAUUGUAAGAACAUCAGCCCAGCUACCAAUUACCUGAACAUCAAAAAUCAGUUUUGUAGUACCAGAGAUUAGAGAAUACACUGGAUGACAUGACAUGCCAUACAUCCAUAAUAGAACACAAACUUACCUUGACAGUUUGGUCAUCAUACAUAACCCAUCUUUCAUGAUCAUGACUAUAGGCAAAACAAUGAUAAUGUUGCCCAUAAUAGCAAACCUGAGUUUAAAAUCAAACCUUAAAAAUAAUGUCCAAUAAUCACCCCUAUUUCUGCAUUUUAAAAUUUGUACUCCAAACUAAAACACAAACACAUGCAAAGACGAAAAUAGACUGCGCAUACGUACCACAGAGACCAAGUUAUGCUUAUUUUUGGGAUCAAUACCCCGAUAAAGCACACUAAUAUCUAUUUCAUUAGUUAAGGCAGCCAGUGUUGCUGCUAUGUCAUCAGCACUUUCACAUGUAUUCUGCCAACCGAGAACUGCAAGACCAAAAAUGAUAAUGAUUUUAGAAGUAUAAACCACUGAGUAACCAAGUAUAAAUUCAUUUAAUAACUUCAAGCACAACCUGUUGUGAAAACAUGUGGUGGAUUUGAGAGAAUGUGAUGGACAUAGUUGAGCUUCCCACAGCCACCAGCCUCUGGAUCACAAGCUAAUUGAUGGUUCCUCUCCACAAGAUUUAAAAGCUCAUCAAAGGAGCUUUCUUCACUCAUAACCUGAAAGGUAAAAAAAAAGUGUCAGGAAUAACCAAGAAAAGAAAAUUGUUCAAAAGGAGUUCUAGAGUUUUUUCUCCAUGCACAAAGGAUAGACACCUUCAUUGUUCGCAAUGCACUGGCAUUUAUGUUAUGAAAGAAAGUAGUGUAUUUCAAGUGUCUGGACUCCACACCACAACUGUAGCAAUUCAUUCGUUCAAAGAUAUCCAUUCCAAAAAGAGAAUGCACUGUACAAGCACUAUUUGCACAAUCCCAAGAGCCCGUGCAGUUGCUGUCUGUAGAAUCAGCAUCAGAAACACUUGAAGCAGAAGUAAAAGACCGAUGAAGGCAAUCAAAUAUUACGGCCAAUACUUCAGAAGCAUCGUUCAUCUGACCCUGUAAAUUGCUGCUAUCUUUGUCAAAUCUUUCAAACAUAGACAUCCAUCUAAAAUCGUAAUUAUGAGAUAUCUAACAAUUAGAAAUGCGAUGUAGAAUAAACACUGAACUUACCUCUUGGAAAAAGUUACUAUCUGGAUACAAGUUGCUAAGGGCUAUUCUAAGUGAUGUAGGGGCUACUGGUUCUCUCCAUGCAUCACUAGAUGCAAUGCUCAGGGCAGUGAAAAUUUCAUAUAGUGCGCAGAUAACACAUGGAUCUCCCACAUGAACAUGAUCUGAUGCUGAUCUCCGCAAGAAUUCAUCACGAAACCGUCUCAAGUGCCACAAUGACUGAAGUUAAUACCAAAGGCAGCAAAUGAUUAGAAAGGGAAGAUUACAUAGAGGGCCAAGUUGAAGGACGGUGGGCUGAAAGAGACCAGGAAUCACAGUAUAAGAAAAACUAACCUGUAUAAUAACAUUCAGAAAGCAAUUAUAUUCGCCAACCUCAUUCAGCAGACCCGUACCAAACACUUCAGUUUCUUUCAAACCUUCACCGGAGACCUCAUUUGGUGAGUCACCAUGGAUUUUUACUUCCGAAGGUACCCUUUCUACUGCUUUCAAACUUGAAGCCAAGGGAAAUCUCUGUUGUGCUUGGUAUGUGUCUGAAAAAUGACAAUCACAAAGUUAGAAAGCUACUGAAGCAGACCAUCUACUCAAGAAAAAUGAAAAUUAGAAACUUAACGCCAAGACCAUGUUUAACAGUAUGUGCAGCUUUGCAGCCAAGCUGCAAUCAAUCAUAAAGAACAACACUACACAACAGAACUAUACUACAGUAAGGAAUACCUCUGUUACAACAAAAAGUAUCAGUCCAAUUUAUAAAAGUGGAACUUAUCUCAGCAACUGACUGCUAAAUACCGGCACACUUGCUAGAGUUGAGCUACAACUACCAAGUUAAAUACAAAUGCAUGCAUGUCAGAUUAUUCAUGCACCUACACAAUAGACUGCCAAAUACAGGUACACUCAAUAGAGUUUAGCCAAAACUACAAAGUUAAAUACAAAUGCAUAACUAGGCAGCUUAUUGUCAAAAAAAUUUUGCACACUAGCCGAUCAGAUUGAGGACGCCAACACUUAACCUUUGCAACAAAUACCCAGGAAAAAGUGUUUCGCCUGAGUUUGUCUCAACAAAAACUGAAGAAAAGCAUUAUUGACUGCAAAAUAUUCCUUAAAGAAGAACGAAGAUUUUUCUUUUACCAAUAAAAAAUUCAUAGGCGAAAUCAUUUUAAAGUCUGUUCAUGAGAUGCUAAUGAGAAAAUGGGUGAGAAUUUACAGAACAUACACUGAAACAGUUAUAUGGAUGACUUGUUUCAAGAUACCUAAUCUCAAGUACAAAUUUGCAAGUGUAGGGAAACAAUAAGAAGCAUGAAAAAGUAAAUGCGGUAAGGACACUACCAAGACUUUGGCGAACGGCCUUCUUAAGGUUUGCUUGGAACCUUUCUUCAUCAUCUUCCUCAGCUUGCAGUUGUCUUAAAGUCUUUGUACCACCUUCCCCAGAUACAGGAGCAACUGGUUUUACAGAAACACCCACAUCGACUUAGUUCCCAAAUGGACAAAUAAAUCAGAAAAGCAGCUUACCACAUAAAAACUAACAAUAAUAAAAAAAUAGUAACACAAAUUCACAAUGACAGAUGGUCUAUAACCAUUAUGGCACAGUGAUCAGAGCAGAAUGUGGAAUGGGAUAGCAUAUAAUAAUGAUUAUAUUUCCUCAUACAACUUCAUACACUUUAUUCCUUGUAUUCUAAAGCUUAGAUAGUCAUUUCCCCUCUACAUAGUAUAGAUAGAUAAUAAGAGAAUGCAUGUGGAACGGGUUAACAUAUAAUAAUUUUUGCAGCUAACAAAAUUAAGCAGGAAAAUGUAACUUUCCAAAAGAAAACGUGGCAAGCGUUAUAUCUAUACAACCUCAUACUUAAUUUUGUACCCUACCUAAUAGUAUAAUACAAGGUAGUCAAAAGAAUAUUUUGAAUAAGCAAAACAGAAAGAGAAGAUAGGCCAAUAUUAUAAGGAUAAGAGUGUGGGUGAAUGAGCACACAUGUCUAGACUUGAUGUCCAGUAAAUUAAAAAGCUCCAGCUCAUCAAACCAUAGAUUUAAUGUAGCAUCAAAAUAAGCUUUACCACUGCCAAUGGGGCCACCAUCAACAUAUCCAACUUGUUCUUCCACGUUGCCAUGAGAGAUUCUACCUUGAAUGUUUUGAUUUUCAGAUGACAAGACUUGAUACUUCCCAUCAAGAAAUUUGUUGUUACCCUUGUGUCGUCGACCCUUUCUUCCUGUCCAUUGAUUACUAGGAAAAAAACCAUCAUCUGGGACAGCACCCUUAGUGCCGGAUGUAAUAGAAGUCACUGGCACAGCUGAACCAUUGGCAGCGCUCAUUGGUAUGCUAUCCAAUUUGUUUGUGACCUCGCUCCUCAGUGCCGAAUGUUGCUGAAAAGAAAGUUUAUAAAGUUUUCUGAUUAUCUCAUCAUGGUUCCUAUAAAGGUAACAGCAUGAAUCACGUCUUGGCAUGAUAUCUUACCAACUUUCCAUCUCAUCAUGUAUAAAGGAAAGAGUCACCAACAUAAUGCUCACCUGAAUAUCUAGAUUACCAUCAUCCAAACAUGCAUCAUGCAAUCCAUCAACCGCUUUCUCUGCAUGUGUUUGAAUAGUAAUUGUAUUUCGCUCAGCAAGGUGCUUCGGUUUAGCCCCAUUCUCAAUCCAUCUUUGAUACUCCAAAGUCUCCUCAAGCAUCCUUUCCUCUUCUUCGAGCUCUAUUUUUCGUCUAAAUUCCUCUUCUUGCUGUUUUAAGUCAUCAUUAUUCACAGAAACAACUUUAGAAUCUAGAUGGUCACCAUCAGCUACCCCGGAACUGCAAGAAACACACAUGAAAAUGCACAUUAAUAUUAAACUAUACCAAAAGGUACUAUCACCACUUGCAAAGAGAAGAAUGAUCAGAAUAGAUAAUGAGAAUAUGCAAAUGGAGAACAGCAGGAAAUAUACACUUGCUCAGCAGUCUCAUCAUUUAGCAUAUGCAGCUCAUUUCCACCAUAACCCUGAAACAGUAAGAAAACAUUAGACCUGCACCAUGGAACAUGCAAUUUAAGUUACUAGCAGCUGAAUAUUAAAAAAUAAAAAGUAGCAAUACCUUUGAAUCCUUGGAUUUUCUGAACUCCUUGUUCUUUUUCUUAUCCUUGACUUUCUCCUGAGAAUGUCUGGAAUUACCACUUCCUCCUCGAGCAACCUUCUUAGCGUCACGUGCAAGCUCUGCUAAAAAUGCUUCUCUCGCAGCAUCAGAUUUCUCAGUAGCAUUUUUCUCAGCCAUGUCCUCCAAGUGUGCCUGAAUUUAAAAAUGAUAAAUAAAUAGAUAAAGAGCAUAUCACGACAUGGCAUAGUCUAUAAGAAAUAGGACACGUAAAACCAAUUAGCUUAAUACAAACCCUCAAGUAUGAUUUCACUAAAGGCAGCAUUAUUGACUGAUAAUCAUGUGCAGAUACAGACUCAAGUUUGAGUUCCAACUGCUGCAUCCCAGUAACGUUUCGCAUAAUUCGUGCAUCGAUUUUGCUUAGCUGCUUGACAAAAUGAAACAAUUAAGAAUGGCAGGUUAAGAAUCAAUUCUUUAUAUUGAAAGUUGCACCUAAAGCAAAUGACAGACCUCUAGAGAUAAUUGCUCCUUCUGUCUCUGAAUGGCAACUUCUAUGUAGGUGUCCGCUUGAUGCAGAUAAUCCUUAGCUCUCCAGUCAUCAUCUUCCCCAGAUUCCAAGUCACACAACUGAGAAGUCACACCGGCAUAAGUAUUCUCAUAGCCAAAUUGAUUGAUAUUCAGUGCUUCUGCUUCUUGCAAAACAUUUGUAAUAGCAUCUAACUCAAAUCUACUGCUAAGGAACAUAUCAUCACUCUCAGUCUCAACAAGUUCUUCUCUGUGCUUUCUAAGGACAGAUUCGUAGCUUCGAUGAACAGAUUCAGUGGCAGUCUCCCUCUUCUUACCUUCUUCAAGACAGAGAUCCUCUAAAGCUUGCAAUGCUUCCUCGUAGCUCAUAUGGUCACAUUUUCUCUCACAGAGACUCUGUAGGUGAUAAAACUCCUUCUCCAGCAUCUGGAGAAUUUCUAGUCCUUGCUGUGUUUUCUCUGCUUUCAUGAGUACCCAUGAUGCCAAUUGAUACUGACUUGAGGAGCCUGAAAAGAUCCAGGACAGCAGAGCAUCAGCAUCCUGUACAAACUCAUUUCCAUUGCUACCUCUGGACUUUGCCAGGGCAGAAUCUUCUAUUGCUGCAUCAGGCAAUAAAUGUUCAUCCAAUAGGAGACACGAAGCAUCUGCAUUAAGAACAAUCUUCUCCUUAACCUCAAGAAUCUUAGUAGCACCAUUCACAUCAUCCACAGGAGUAGUCUUCUCAGAGUAUCUAGCCAGACCACAAGAAUGAGAUAAGUCCUGCAGGAAUUUGAGAACUUUUCUAAGCUGUGUAGAUCCCAGAAAACAGAUACACAUGGGAGUUUGAUCUACACCAUGAUUUAGAAGCUGAGAACCAGAAACCAGACUCUGCAACUCAUCCAUUGUGAACUGUAUCACCUUGUUAAGAUGGCUAGCAGCAAGGUACUUAUGUCUAAUAAGCAGUUCAAAUGUGGCAUGAAUUCUUUCAAGCAACUUUGCACGCUCAGCAUCAGCCACUGUUGGCCAACUAUCAACAAGGGGAUAUGUUACAGAACCCUUGUUUCCAUCGCAUCCUUUGCACUCAAUGCUAGAAACUUUCUCACAAACAUUACCCUCUACACUACCACAACUGUAACUAACCCCAACGUUUUCCUUUGCAGGAGAUGAAUCCCAUGCAUCAUCAAAGCAAUCAUUACACUGCUCAUUACGGUCCCCAAUCAUUUUAAUUGCAGCAGAAAUAUCCAAAGGAUUCCAAGAACAGUUAAGGAGCAUCUCUAUCCACUCACUAUCAAUACUCUGUGGCAACACGUUCUGCAUUUUUGGUAUGAGGUUCCCCAUAUGCUCCUGAACAACAUGCUGCAUAUGAGACUCUGAAUCCGCAAAUUUUUCACUACACCUACAACAAACCCAAAAGUUCCAAGUCUUAUAAGCCUCCGCAAAUUCUAAAGCCUCUGAUAAGACAUCACUUGCCAAUCCAUCUUUCACCAAACCAAAAUACGCUUUGAUGUCACUAACCCUAAUUCUAAGCAGAUCUCUCUUCAAGUCAAUGCUCAUUGAAUUCCAAUAUGAUCGAACCCAAUCUUUCCUUUCAGCUGUAGAACCAUUCUUCCUCCUCCUCCUAUCUGCUCCUCUUUGCCCGCUUCCUGAAGUUAAAUCCAGUUCAUUCUUCUCGCCCUUGCUUUGCAACUGCGGUGAAGAAGAAACUGCUUCAGAUUUCUGCUGCUGCAACAACCUAGCAGCAGCAACUCUAACCUCAAUUUCUUUCCUUCUUUCUUCUGGUGUCUUUGUAGCUUUCUUGAUCUCAUUAGGCCUUCUCGAUGGCACUAGCCUAACCUCCAUUGGAUCAUCAGUCACUCUCCGGACCGGAAUAAACCUGAAUUUCUCUUCUCCACUCCCCAAAUUCUUCAUCCAAGUAGAAAUUGAAGCGAUAUGUGAUUUCUGUAUCAGCGACCUAAGCUCACUUUGCACUUGCAAAAUCCUCGCUUCCGCAGUUAAUGUUUGCUGUUGACUUUCUUCUUGUAAGCUUUCUUUAGCGGGAUCCACCGGAUUCUCAAUGGCCAACGCGCGUUCGCAUUCUUGAACCACUUCUUCAUACUCUUUUGCAUCGUUGGCCGUGUCAUACAGUAAAUUAGCAUAAAAAUGAGCAAAUUCGAUGGAGUUGGGUGAUAACUCUACAGCUUUUCUGGCUGAAUCUAUCGCGCUUUUCAAAUGCCGAUUUUUAGCGUUAGGGUCAUCCAUGAUGGACGCCACUUUCAAGCACACCGUGCCUUGAACGCGGUGAACUAGAGCGGCCUGAGCCGAGUUCUCGUGACGAGUGCACGAUUCUUUCAUCAACCGAAGCGCUUUCGUAUGGUUGCCACGUCGGAGUGCCGUUAGGGCUCGCUCACAGUCAGCCUUAACCACAGACGACGAAGACGAACCAUUCGAUUCAUCCGGAACACCAGCCGAUACCCCGACCUUCGCAUUAUUCCCACUCAACUCAGCUUCACCUGAAUCAUUAACGACAUUCACCAGCGCCGGCAACUGUUUUGAGCGCGGAGCAACGUUCUUCUUCUUGUGCCCCAUCGAUUAUUAUCUCAAUCGAAUCAACAUGCAUAAAUCUUUCUUUUUCUUUUUUCUUUUUUCUUUUUCCUUUUCCUCUUUUCUCCUUGUGCUUUAUCAAUAUAUUUCCAGAGAAAAGAUUUCAGAAAGAAAGAAAGAAAGAUGAACUUACUGGAAAUGCGAGGGAUAAAGUGGUAGAUUCAGAAAGGACGGUGACGGAAAAUGAUCGGCGAUGAAACCGAAGCGUUAAAAUAGCUUCGUAGUCGUCGUCUUCGUCUUCUUCUUCUCUAAGAGUGUGACAGACAAAGGCACCUAUUCCAUGGAAGGAAGAGGGUGAGACUUUGAUUCGCGAGAAAGCUAAAAUGGGGAUUAACCAAUUUUAAUUUAUAUAUAAUUAAUAACGAUUGAUUUUAUUACUUAAUGCUAAGCCCACUUUCCUUUUUUUAUAUAUAUAUAUUUAACAUAUACAUGAACCAAUAAAUUUAUUAGAUUUAUUUUGGCUUUUUUCGUGUUUAAAAUAGUAAAUAUUAUAUUUCAUUAUUUUUAUAUAAUAACUAUGUUAAAAACAAUAUAAUUUUCAAAUUAAAAUUAUUUUUUAAUAUUAAUUUACUUUUUAAUUAUAAAAAUGAGAAAUGUUAUACGUUAUUUAGAAGGGAGAUGUGAAGAAUAAUAGAAUAUAAAAUUUUCAGGAAAGGUGAAGCUUUUCACACCAACCAACGAAGGGUAGGUGUAAGCAAUUUAAACUUUGUAAAAGAAAAUAUUAGCUUUUUAUGAUAAAAAGAUAUUAUCUUUUUUAAUUAUUUAAUAAAUUAAUUCGUUCAUGCAUAAUUUAUACAUGUAAGAACGAAAUGAUGUCCAAAAUUCUAAAUUUCAAAUCCAAUCCAAUCUAUAUCUUGUUAAUUAUAUAACAACUAAUUUUUAAUAAUAAUAAUUAAUUUGUUUUUAAUUUAAUAUAUAUGAAUUAAUUUAUUUAAUUUUUUAAAGUAAAGAAAACCAGAUGUAAUCUAACCUCUAAUAUAAAAGUCUUGAUCGGGAUUAAUUAAUUUUAAUUUUAAUUUUUAUAUAAUGAAUAAUAAAAAAAUUUAUUACUUCAUGCAAAUUCUCACAAGUUUUGCAUGAGAUAUAUUUUUAUAUAUAAUAAAAUCUAAAUCAAGGUAGCAAGUGAUGUUCGUUGUUCAAGUCAAUUAUUUUAUUAUUUAUGAUUUUUUAUUAUUUUAUGAGAGUUAUAUUUAAAAUGUAAUUUUAAUGUAUGAAAUACAAUUUAUACAUUCACAUUAGACUUUAUACACAAUUUUUAUUAACAAGCUAAAAAUAUUUAAAAUUAAUAUUUUAUAUAUCAUAAUAUUAACAUCACGUUUAAGAUAUUUUAACUUUUUCGCAUUAAGUUUUUUUUACAAUAACAUUAAAUAUAUAAAAUUUUAAAUCAAUUUUUAAAAAAAUAUAUAUAUAUAGUUUCAUGGGGGAAUGAUUCCAAAUAUUCAUCCUCUAGUAGCCCAAACUAUACUAGGGACCAAUUCUUCCAAACUCCUUAGGGGAUCGAAAUUGGAGACAAUUGACUAAAUACAAAAUCAUUUUAUUUAUCCAUUUAAAUUAAAUAAAUAAUCCAAUAAAUUGCUUUUUAACUAAAAUUUUAGUUAUUAUCAUUUAAUUUUCAGUAAACAAAUGUAUAUAAACAUUUAAUUUUAAGUUAUUAUAAAAUUAAUCUAUUUCAAAUAUAAUAAAAGUAGUGAAUGGAAGGGGGGUUGAUUACUUAGACCAAGUGGGCAUAAGUUGUGUUUCUUAAUGGAACAAAUGGCAUCUUAAGUAUAAAUAUAUAUGAGAUCUUGAUGUUUACUUGCAAUGUCUCGGGCAAUUUACCAAUAAAAGUUCUUUUUUUUUAAAAUUUACUGAAAUGACCCAACUAUUUAAUUAUUUACCGGAAUGGUCUGUUUUCCGCGAAAUCGCGUCCACGUCAGCGCGAUGUCAGGGUACGCGACAGGAAAUCGCGUCCACGUCAGCCUGACUUUAUGACGUGGACGGAAAUCGUGCCCUAGAGGACGCGAUUUGCUGACGUGGCAUGAACAGUUUAUGUUUUUUAGCUUGAAAAACUUUGAAAGGCCAUAACUUUUGGCUCGGUUGUCCGAUUGAGACAAUUUUUUUUAUUUCAAAUAACUUUUUGAGAUCUACGCGCUGAAAAACUGCUUAGAGAUGAAUAGGGACUAAUUUGUAAAGUAUAAUUUGUUAGUUACGAGUAUAGGGACUAAAGUGUUAUUAUUUCAAAAUUAGCAUGAAAUUUUUGUAUUUAAGAAUAUUUGAAUGUUAUGGAAGGAUGAAAUUGAAUUUUAAUUGAAAAACGAAGCUUAGAUUUGAAAAUAUGACUAUUUAGGUUUUAGGGACUAAAUUGAAUAAAAUAGAAAAUUUUAGGGAACUUCUCAAAAGUGGAAUGAGCUGACUUAUACCCAUAACAGGAUGAUAUAAGACAAUUCUGUAAAAAAAGAUCUGGUGUUUACUUCAAAUAAAUAAAGAAAAUAAUGAUUUGAAUGUUUCAAAAUUCAAUUUUAAAUCGAAAAAAUCAAAAUUUAGGGGUAAAAAAUGAUCUUUUUCGAUGAAAACUACGGCAAACCGCCUUCGGCGGUUUGUCAGCGCGUAGAUCUCGAAAAUUUAUUCGCAAUAAAAAAAAUCGUCUCUGUAACACCUCCUAACCCCAAACUGUUACCAGAACGAGGUUAUGAGGCAUUACCGGACGUAUCGAACGAUUUACAACAAUUCUUAAAUAAAUAACCAAUAUAUUAAAAUAAUUCAUAAAAUUUAUUAGUUUGUUUACCAAAUGACUUCAUUUUUUUUUUUAAUAAAAAUUUCGGCAGCAUUUCUGCUUACUUUUACAUAAAAUCCUCUGCAAAUUAAAACCAUAUAGUUCCCAAAUAUCAUCAAUUCAACCAAUUCAUUUCACAUUCACAUUUUAUAUUCUAAAUACUUCUAAUCAAACUCAAUCUACACAAUAUCAAUUUAAAAUUUAACAAUGUACUAAUUAGAUAAAAUAGAUAGACUUCUUUCAUUAAAAUCCAUAAACUUUUAAUACUAACAUUUUUAACCAUUAUAUAAUAAAACAUAUAACCUUUAUACACAAUCUAUGUACAUGCCACCUUUACCAAAGGAAAAAUACAUCACCAAGUUUUGCCGAAGCCGGGAUUAAUCUGGAUGCUGAACCGGGACCUUUGACUUCUAUUGACCUGCGCACGGAAACAACCGUACGCUGAGUAAUUCAUACUCAGUGGUAUUACCAUAAUUCAAAUUAUAACAAUAAUGUACAUGUAAAGCAUAAAUCGUAUAUACAAUUUAAAUUAAAUAUUUCAACAAUAGCAAUUCAUCAACCAAUAUCGUAUAUCCACAAUUUGAGUUUGAAUAAUUCACGAACCUUAGGUUCAUUUCUCAAUCUCAUUUCACAUUUCAAUUCACAAUUCAACUUUUUCAUAUCAUUUCAAUAGCUCGUUUGACCAACUCGUUCGGUUUAUCAUUUCAUCAUUUACCCUAUUAACAAAACUCGGACUUUGGCGGAUACACGGAUCCAACCAAACACACCAGAAUGGCACCCAGUGCCUCAUCGGAUAGUUCGAAGCAAUAGUUGACACCCAGUGUCUCAUCGGCAAAGCCGAAGAAAGUUGGUACCCAGUACCUCAUCGAAUCUAUCCGAAGAAAUAUAGUGACACCCAGUGUCUCAUCGACUCGAGGUCGAAGUAUCCCUGAACUCUUCCAAUCCUAUGGCAUGCCAACUAUAUCCGACUCAGCCCGACUAGUUAAUAGGGUAUUUAAAUCACAUAUAUUCUCAAUUCAAUCACACUUUUUCACACUUUCAAUUCAAUCAUUUUUCCACCUUUCAAUCAAUAAUUAAUCCGCAAUUAACAUACUUUCACAACUCAAUACAUUUCCAUUCAAUUUAAUAUCGGUCAUUAUUCGAUUUAAAUUCAUUUCCCGCUUUCAAUCAACAAACAAUUCAAAUAUUAUUUCAUAUCAACUAUUCAAUUUAAUUCCCACUCAUAAUAAUAAUACUAAUAAUAAUAUUAAUACUAAUAUUAAUACUUACCUCACAUUUCAUUUACUAGACACAUAAAUUAAAAUUUAACAUAAAAAAAAUAAAUAAUUUGAAUUAUAGUAAUACAAACCGUAAUUUUCUCGAGUUUACUCCUCGAUAAUCUUCUCUUUUCCCUUCCGUGCCGACGCUUCUGGUUCUUUGCUAGCUACGAAAAUGAUAAUAAUUUAUACUAUUAAUUUCAGCACUAAUUAUGAUAAUAAUUAAAUUUCUAUUCAAUUUCAUCCUUAUUCUCAAUUUAAUCCUAACUAAAUUCACUUACUUUCCUAAUUCAAUUCACACUCUAUUUCUAUUCAAAUUUCAUCCAAACUAAAAUUUAACUAUCAAAAUUUCAGCAUAUUUUGGUAAUUUCGAAUUUCCCUCAAUUUAGUCCCUAAAACAUAAAACUUAUAGUUUCUUUUACAAUUUAAUCCCUUUUUCAAUUCUAACUUAAAAUUCCUUCAAGUUAAUCCCUAAUUCAUCUCUUUUGUUCAACAUAAACUAUACUUAAAAACCUAUGAACUUACAAAAUAUCAACUUAAUUCCAUCAAAACUUUGUUUUAAAGCUUUUAAAACAUUAGAAUUAAGAGAAAAGGGCUAAUUUGACUUACCAAUUUAAAUUUCUAUCAAAUACAUCCCUAAUUUAACAAUUUAUUCAACAUGAACCAUGCUUAAUAAUCUACUAACUUCCAAAAUUUCAACUUAAAUCAAGUAGUAUUUUAUUCUAGGAUUUCAAAAAAAAUAUCAAAAUUAAGAGAAAAUGGGAUUAAAUUGACUUACCAAAUUACUUUGAACCUUAAAACCCCAAAUUUCCCUUUUUCUUUUCUUUUCUUUCUUUCUUUCCUUCCUUCCUUCUCUGUUUCGUUUUGCUCUCUGUUUCUUUCUUUCUCCCUUCUCUGUUUUGUUUUUAAUAAUAAUCAUUACUUACAUAUAUAUAAUAUAUAUUAACUAGAAUAUCUCAGAUAUUUCUUUCAUUAUGCCGCCUCAACUUUAGAAAAAGGCAUAAUUACCUAUUUGGUCCUUUAACUUUUCUUUAAUCUAUAAUUAAACUUUUAUCCCUAUUGCAAUUUAAUCCUUUUUCAUAAUUAACUAUCGAAACAUUAAAAUUCCUUAACGAAACUUUAAUAUUAUCCUAUUGACACUUCGUAAAUAUUUAUAAAAAUAUUUACGGCUCAGUUUAUAAUAUCGAGGUCUCGAUACCUCAUUUUCGACCCAAUUUACCUAAUAAUUUCUUUUAAAUCACAAAAUUCACUAAUUCAAAAAUAUUUCUAAAAUCACACUUAACUUAUAAUUAUUAAUUAAUAAAUUUUUCUAACUUUUCCAUCAAUUUUAGUGAUCUCAAAUCACUAUUCUGACACUACUAAAAAUUGGGCUGUUACAACUCUUCCCCCCUAAAAAAAAAUUUCGUCCUCGAAAUUUCUCACCUGAUACAGGCUAUUAAGUCAAAUCUUUCUUCCACCCUUUCAAUCGAAGUCCAUAAAAAUUAAUCAUAACUCAUAUCACUUCCGAAAUCAUAUCAGAACUCAUUUUAGAACUUGAUACUAUGCCUGAACUUAACUGAGUAACUCUGAUGUUCUCUUGCCAUCACUUUUUCACUAGUAGUAUGACUACUAAGAAAUUUCCAGUAAUUGUCUGUCGAAACAUAACUGAGAAACUCGAAUUAUCUUAUUUAAUACCUUUAAACGAAGACCUUGGAAACCCAUCCAGCGAGAAGAAAACAGAUAAUUUAAACCCAUUGUGGAGACCCAAAAUAUAUUGAUUCCAUCACUGAUGAUUACUCAACUUUUCACUGAAUAACCCACUCUGAUUAGAACUGAGUCGAUUUUUAUCUUUCAGAUAAUAACAUUCUAGAAUAAUCCAUUCUUCUUGUUGUCAAAACAAUUUAGAUAUAUCAUAUAUCAUAAUCCUCUCAGAACACCAACCGAAAAUUACCACAAAUAGCAUUUAACUCAACCGAAUUUUGACAUUCCAUUAUUGACUUGUUGACAUAAUUCAGAAUUACCUGAGAAAUGAAAACCAAAACACAAGUUUGAGCUCAAUCUUCCUCCAUCUAUACUUUUGCCGAUGUCAACCCUUUCACGAAAACUAGAAAGGAAUUAUAUAUAAUAAAAAUAUUUCAAUCAUUAACAUCGAAGCUUUGAACUAUACCGAAGCCACAACCAUCAAAUAGAUUAAAAACUAUAAAGCUAUACUAGGACCGACGUUCCAACUAUAUAGAUAGAACAAUACCUCAACAUCAAUAGUGCACUCCAAAAUAGAUGAAGAAAACCGAAGUAGUCCCAAUAACAACCAGUGCAGUAAUACAACUUCUAUAAUCUGAAAUCCAUAUCACCGGGUUCCCAUGAUCAAACCAAGAUUUAUAACAGUAAUAAAUAUAAUUACCUCUGGCCAACGAAUAUCUUGUACGGAUGAACCAUGGUUAAUAAAUAAGAUUAGACCAUAAGAAUAAUAAGAAAACCGAGAUAAUAGAAUCCAAGAUGUGAAGCUAUACUAAAUUUUCGAGAAGAAAAACCACAUUGAAUGAUAAAGAGAUCGAUGAUAUCCCAGAGAAAAUCCAAAAGAAUAUCCCAGAGAAAAUCCAAAAGAAGAAUAUCACUUGUACGUACUAGGAAUAGUUGUGAUAAAGACAAUAUAAAUUCCAUAUAUAUAAUUCGGAGCUUCAACCAGUAGAAAUAGAAAAUAGCUUCAUAUGAGUCUUAUCAUCAAAUCUUCCAUCGAACUUAAUAGAUUAGAAAACCAAAGAAAGAUAGAGGAAUCCCGAUCAUGAAUCAACCAGACUAAUAAUAAUUUCGUCUAACAAUACGAUUAGCCAACCUUGCUAUAUGAUAAAAAUCAUAUCUGAAAAUAAAUAAUUGCAUAUACCUCUGAGGAUAAAAGAGCAUAUAGAAUACCCAUAUAGAAUACCCAGAAGAGAUCAUUGUAAAAUACUCGACUAUAACAACUGCAUUCAGAUAUGGUUGCAAUUUUCAACACAAUCCCACUGAUUACUAAAGUCAUCAAUAAUCUCGCAUUAUCCCAAUCAUUAAAGAAAUCAAUUCAGAAGAAAUUCCGAUUAACCUGCUCUUUAAAUUUUAUACCUGAGUAAGUCGAUUACUCGUGAAUAGCUUCUUCCUUAAUAGCGACAUUGCAAAUCCCAAUAAUCAUUUAAAAAAAAUCUAAUAUCCUUUUUAGAACUCUCUUUACUUGCUAUCCCAUCCACAAUUCUGACUGCAUUAUUAUUCCUUCAAUUAUUGAACUCUUCAAUUUCACACUUGUAAACUUAAUGAAUACAAUUCUUGUAAAUUCCAUUGUUCAGGUGAGGGGGUGAAGGUCGUAAAGCCUCAAAAUUUGACUCUUAUAUAUAUUCUUAUAUAUAUAUACACAUAACAUGACUUUUAUCGUCAAUAUAUUCAUUACAAACAUUCAUUUCAUACCUUAUAAAUCUUUACUCAUAUAGGCAACUCCCCUUUCUCUAUCAAAUACUCAAAUAUCACUUUCAUCACUGUCGGAACUAGAUCAAUUGGAGACAUUUUUGUCUAUUAGUAAAACAUUUCUCAUUUAUCAAGGUUACUCUUUUAAAUGUAUAAAUGUAUAUUUUCAUCCUUAUCUAUAAGGAUUACUAUUUUAAAUCUCCAUACAGAACUAAAUAACAUUUACUUAUUCACAACUUUAAAUUAUUUAUUACAAAUACAUACUUCUUUAUUCACAACUUUGUAACUUAUUUUUCCUUUAUAAUCAUUCAUCAUUGAAUCAAAGAUAAUCUUUUAUCUUGUAACAUUUUUUUUUAGCAGAGGCCCAGUAGACGAAACAGAAUACUUAGGAUAUACGGGACUGUACAGAGAGCACAAAUGUGCUAAACGGAGAGCACUAACGUGCUAGUGAUCAGAGAGCGUGCUAAUAUUCAGAGAGCACUGAUGUGCUAAUAAUCAGAGAGCACGCUAAACUCCCUUAAUAUCCUAAUAGUUCUAACCUCGUCUACUUGGGCAAAUUAUUUCAUUCAUGCAUGCAUAUCACUUUUACACUUUUCGCACAAUACUUUUACAUGCUUUACAAUUUAAUUCUUGUACCAAUAAUUUGUGCAUUUAUAUCUUCUCUAUCUUUAGCACAUGUAAUAUAUUUCAAAAUUUACUAUUCAUCCAUAAAUCCUUAAUAAUCCUUAUCAUCUACUUCAUAUAUUACUUUUGUAUUAUUAUUUUUUUAUAAUUUAGUUAUCAAUUCAAUAGUUCGUAUAGCACUAUAAUUUAUUUUUCAAUGAAACAUAUAACGCAAUAUUCAUCAUCAUAUUCAUUCGACAUUUUCAACUCUAAAACAUAAGCAAAUAUAUCAGCAUCCAAAUCUCGACUCAAUUCGACACAAUUAUGGCAUGUACCUCUAAACUCAAUUCUGAGCUCGAUUUAGUCCGAGAAUCGACUAAACCUGCAAAGCUCUGAUACCACCAAUUGUAACACCUCCUAACCCCAAACUGUUACCAGAACGAGGUUAUGAGGCAUUACCGGACGUAUCGAACGAUUUACAACAAUUCUUAAAUAAAUAACCAAUAUAUUAAAAUAAUUCAUAAAAUUUAUUAGUUUGUUUACCAAAUGACUUCAUUUUUUUUUUUAAUAAAAAUUUCGGCAGCAUUUCUGCUUACUUUUACAUAAAAUCCUCUGCAAAUUAAAACCAUAUAGUUCCCAAAUAUCAUCAAUUCAACCAAUUCAUUUCACAUUCACAUUUUAUAUUCUAAAUACUUCUAAUCAAACUCAAUCUACACAAUAUCAAUUUAAAAUUUAACAAUGUACUAAUUAGAUAAAAUAGAUAGACUUCUUUCAUUAAAAUCCAUAAACUUUUAAUACUAACAUUUUUAACCAUUAUAUAAUAAAACAUAUAACCUUUAUACACAAUCUAUGUACAUGCCACCUUUACCAAAGGAAAAAUACAUCACCAAGUUUUGCCGAAGCCGGGAUUAAUCUGGAUGCUGAACCGGGACCUUUGACUUCUAUUGACCUGCGCACGGAAACAACCGUACGCUGAGUAAUUCAUACUCAGUGGUAUUACCAUAAUUCAAAUUAUAACAAUAAUGUACAUGUAAAGCAUAAAUCGUAUAUACAAUUUAAAUUAAAUAUUUCAACAAUAGCAAUUCAUCAACCAAUAUCGUAUAUCCACAAUUUGAGUUUGAAUAAUUCACGAACCUUAGGUUCAUUUCUCAAUCUCAUUUCACAUUUCAAUUCACAAUUCAACUUUUUCAUAUCAUUUCAAUAGCUCGUUUGACCAACUCGUUCGGUUUAUCAUUUCAUCAUUUACCCUAUUAACAAAACUCGGACUUUGGCGGAUACACGGAUCCAACCAAACACACCAGAAUGGCACCCAGUGCCUCAUCGGAUAGUUCGAAGCAAUAGUUGACACCCAGUGUCUCAUCGGCAAAGCCGAAGAAAGUUGGUACCCAGUACCUCAUCGAAUCUAUCCGAAGAAAUAUAGUGACACCCAGUGUCUCAUCGACUCGAGGUCGAAGUAUCCCUGAACUCUUCCAAUCCUAUGGCAUGCCAACUAUAUCCGACUCAGCCCGACUAGUUAAUAGGGUAUUUAAAUCACAUAUAUUCUCAAUUCAAUCACACUUUUUCACACUUUCAAUUCAAUCAUUUUUCCACCUUUCAAUCAAUAAUUAAUCCGCAAUUAACAUACUUUCACAACUCAAUACAUUUCCAUUCAAUUUAAUAUCGGUCAUUAUUCGAUUUAAAUUCAUUUCCCGCUUUCAAUCAACAAACAAUUCAAAUAUUAUUUCAUAUCAACUAUUCAAUUUAAUUCCCACUCAUAAUAAUAAUACUAAUAAUAAUAUUAAUACUAAUAUUAAUACUUACCUCACAUUUCAUUUACUAGACACAUAAAUUAAAAUUUAACAUAAAAAAAAUAAAUAAUUUGAAUUAUAGUAAUACAAACCGUAAUUUUCUCGAGUUUACUCCUCGAUAAUCUUCUCUUUUCCCUUCCGUGCCGACGCUUCUGGUUCUUUGCUAGCUACGAAAAUGAUAAUAAUUUAUACUAUUAAUUUCAGCACUAAUUAUGAUAAUAAUUAAAUUUCUAUUCAAUUUCUUCCUUAUUCUCAAUUUAAUCCUAACUAAAUUCACUUACUUUCCUAAUUCAAUUCACACUCUAUUUCUAUUCAAAUUUCAUCCAAACUAAAAUUUAACUAUCAAAAUUUCAGCAUAUUUUGGUAAUUUCGAAUUUCCCUCAAUUUAGUCCCUAAAACAUAAAACUUAUAGUUUCUUUUACAAUUUAAUCCCUUUUUCAAUUCUAACUUAAAAUUCCUUCAAGUUAAUCCCUAAUUCAUCUCUUUUGUUCAACAUAAACUAUACUUAAAAACCUAUGAACUUACAAAAUAUCAACUUAAUUCCAUCAAAACUUUGUUUUAAAGCUUUUAAAACAUUAGAAUUAAGAGAAAAGGGCUAAUUUGACUUACCAAUUUAAAUUUCUAUCAAAUACAUCCCUAAUUUAACAAUUUAUUCAACAUGAACCAUGCUUAAUAAUCUACUAACUUCCAAAAUUUCAACUUAAAUCAAGUAGUAUUUUAUUCUAGGAUUUCAAAAAAAAUAUCAAAAUUAAGAGAAAAUGGGAUUAAAUUGACUUACCAAAUUACUUUGAACCUUAAAACCCCAAAUUUCCCUUUUUCUUUUCUUUUCUUUCUUUCUUUCCUUCCUUCCUUCUCUGUUUCGUUUUGCUCUCUGUUUCUUUCUUUCUCCCUUCUCUGUUUUGUUUUUAAUAAUAAUCAUUACUUACAUAUAUAUAAUAUAUAUUAACUAGAAUAUCUCAGAUAUUUCUUUCAUUAUGCCGCCUCAACUUUAGAAAAAGGCAUAAUUGCCUAUUUGGUCCUUUAACUUUUCUUUAAUCUAUAAUUAAACUUUUAUCCCUAUUGCAAUUUAAUCCUUUUUCAUAAUUAACUAUCGAAACAUUAAAAUUCCUUAACGAAACUUUAAUAUUAUCCUAUUGACACUUCGUAAAUAUUUAUAAAAAUAUUUACGGCUCAGUUUAUAAUAUCGAGGUCUCGAUACCUCAUUUUCGACCCAAUUUACCUAAUAAUUUCUUUUAAAUCACAAAAUUCACUAAUUCAAAAAUAUUUCUAAAAUCACACUUAACUUAUAAUUAUUAAUUAAUAAAUUUUUCUAACUUUUCCAUCAAUUUUAGUGAUCUCAAAUCACUAUUCUGACACUACUAAAAAUUGGGCUGUUACAGUCUCAAUCGGACAACCGAGCGAAAAGUUAUGGCAUUUCAAAGUUUUCCAAACUUAAAAAUAUAAAUUGUUCAUCCACGUCAGCAAAUCGCGUCCUCGUAGGCACGAUUUGUGUCCACAUAAGCAAAUCGUGCUGACGUGGAUGCGAUGUCUUGACACGUACCCUGACAUCGCGCUGACGUGGACGCGAUUUCGUGGAAAAUGGUCCAUUCCGGUAAAUAAUCAAAAAAUCGGCCCAUUUCAAUAAAUUUAAAAAAAAACGGCUUUUAUUGGUAAAUUAUCUCAAUGUCUCAUUAUCCAUAUUUAUAAAUAUAUAAAAUUAUUUUAAAAGUCUAAAAAGAUCAACAGGAGACACGCAUAUAUAAUAUAAAUGUUUUUGUUAUGUUACAAAUUGAACACAACAUAAAAUUAAAACCAGUGCUGAUAUUGAUAUUGUAAUGGUGCCAUUAAAAUUAAUUGUAAGAUUUGUAUUUUUAAAAUAGAUAAUUAUAAAUUUUGAAUAUUGAAUCAUAAAAUCAAUAUAAUAUAAUAUAAUAUAAUCAAAAUUCAUUAAAAUAGUAUUAAUGCUGGAAUGGUAAUUUUUUUUUAUUUUUUAUUUUUAUAAUUGGGGGUGGAGGGUGGAAUUACUUGAGAUCAAACCCUACCUCUCAUGCCUCAUAACUUAGGCCAUGUUCUAUAAUGCUUCUCAGAUGAGUUUUUUCAUUAAAAAAUAUUUUUCCCUAAAAAGCAAUAAAGAACAAAUAUUAGUGUAGAAAUUUUUUUAACUUAUUUUAAGUGCUUUUUCGCAUAUGAAAAAGUAGAAAUUUUUAACUUUUUUCAGCCCAAAAGUGUUUUUGGCUGGUAUUUUACUUUUUUAACCUUACUAUUUAUUCUUUCAAAUACAUUUGAAAUAAAAUAAUACGAAUGUGUUAAAAGUAUUAAUUAAAAAUAAAAAAUAUUUUUUAAAUAAUAAAAUUGUGUCAAUAUCUAAUUAUUAUAUUUAAAUAUUUAAAUAUAGUUUAUAUAUUCUAAUUAAAUUUAAUAAAUAAUUAAUAUUAAUUAAUUAGAAAUAUUUAAAAUUAAUAUUAUAUAUUAAAAUAUUAACAAUAAGUUAUAAUAAAUUAUUUUUUAUAUUUUUACUAAAAUAUCAUAAUAUUAACUAAUUUGAACAUUAUUUAAAUACACAUUUGUUACUUUAUAAUAUCAUAUCUAAAAUGGACAUUUUAUUUCUCAAAAUCACUUUUUAACAGCAAUACUAAACACUCAAAAUUUUCAAAAGCACUUCUCAAAAGUACUUCUCCACAACACUUUUCAAAAGCAUUGCCAAACUAGCCAUUAAUGUUCUUGCCGCUAGAUUAAGAGGUUGUUGAGAGACGUAUAGCCAGGAAUUUUUUUUAGAGGGAGUUGAAAUUAAAUUGUAUUUUUUAUGAUAGUUAAAAUGUAAUUUCACCAUUUAAAUAGACUAUAUCUUUGUAAAUUUUAAAUGAUUAAAUCCAAUUUUUAUCAUUUUUAAGGUAGGUAAAGUGUAAUUUUACAUUUACUAAUUUAAACUUUUUAAAAAUUUAAAGGGCCUAAAUGAAAAUUUUUUAUUUUAAGGGGGCGGGCCUCUACCAACACCUAGCUACGCACCUCGUCGUUAGCAUGUAUGAUAAUAUUUUUACAUUUAUUUUUAUCAUUCAUAUAAUUAUUUAUUUUUAGUUAUUUUAUAAAAAUAAAAUUAUGCUAAAUCAUCUUAGCACUAAGAUUUUUAGAAUCGGACUAAUGAUCAAACCAAUCAGACCACCUAUUUGUCAGUCUCGAUGGUUGGUCCAUCCAGUUUAAUUAAAUAAAUCAUUAAAAAUUUAGAAAAAAUAUUUAAAUUCCAAUUCGUUCAACCAGCCCAUACCGAUUCUUAAGUCAACCAACCUCUCUCCAAAUUAGUUAUUCGACUAACUAUUCAAAUGACCUUACUUAGCACAGUUGGCGUCAUUACUAUUACAAUAACAAAGAAUAUAUAAGUUUAAGUGCAUUUAAGUGUGUUUUUCUAUCAUUUGAGGAUUACGAGUAAAAAUAUUUAUUAUAUUAAAAAAUAAUACAUAUAUACAUUGAACUUAUACGUUUAUUUUUAUUAAAAAUAACUUUAAAAGAGGUUGUUAUUGUAAAAGCACAAGACUCACUGUGUAAUCCAAAGGACUCAACAUGCCAAAUAAAAAGAAUAUACCUCAAUUUAUUCCAUCUCAAAUUCUCACCAAUAGGGAAGAUGAAAGAAACCUAAAUACAAGUAUGAUAUAAUUUAUUAAAAAACCUGUUGUUAAAGCUAAAGUACAAAAUAAAAGGUAAGAAUACUACCAAAGAUUUUGUAUUAAGUGUUAGAUUAUAUUUUAUCUCUUAAAAGACAAUUGAAUUAGUCCUUAUACAUUAAACUCGAUUCAACCAGUCUAUACUAAUUUUCGGGUCAACUAGUUCAAUACCUUUCUCCAUUCUAAUAAAUGUUUGUCAAAAAAUCAGCUUGCUUACUUGGUUUAACAUCUUUGAUGAUUUUCUUCAUUGUAAUAAAUAUUUGGUUUGAAGCAUGAUUUUACCUUUAAUCUAUAUCACUUUUUUUACAUUGGUAUUUAAGCUUUUUUUUCUUCAUAAUUUUGAAGUCCCAUAUUUAAAUAUCAUAGGAUUUAAUCUAAAUUUAUUUUGACGAAUUAAUUAUUGAUAUAAUAUUCAAUACCGAAUACCAUUUUUUAAAUGCAAGACAUGUGGGAGGAAAAGGAAGUGAAUAACACAAUACGUUAAUCUUUAAAAAUACAAUAUUUUUCAUUUAAGAUGUUAAAAAAAUUAAAAUUAAAAGAUGAAUAGUUUAGAGGAGCUAGAAUUAAAAUAUUGUUGUUGUUUUUUUUUCUAAAUUCGAAAGUUAAAAUAUUCUCAUCUAACCAAUAGAGAAACCUUCAUAUAUUAGUGUUUCUACCAAUAAUAUAACUGAGUUUACUAGCUCAAUUGGUUGUAGAUUCAUGCUACUAACACGAAGGCAGUAGGUUUGAAACUUGUAGGCCAAAUAAUUUAUAUUUAGUUUUUUAUCUUUGGCGGGACAGAGGUUGUGGAGGCAAAGGCAGGUACAGGGUCUGCCACCUUGUCCACGGCCUAUUGAUACGUUACCACCCAUACACACCUACUUUAUUUGCUUUUCUUCAGAUUCUGUUGUGCUGCAAAUAAUUGAUCCUUAAAGCUAUAAAUAGGCAAUUAGGUCCAGCCAUGUUUUCAUCUUUUGCACUUGUUUUUCCAGCUUGUAUCAUGAGAUUGCUCCUCUCCAUGUGGACGACCUCUAUUAGAGAAGUUAUUCAAUAAAGAUUUGUCUUUUCUUCUAGAGUUCGUAGUCUACCAAGUUACCUUUGCUUCUAUCACCUGUGCAGCCCCAAAUUUUGUAGAAUCAUCCCUUCACGCUUUGGAUGGAGAUUGGGACAUCUAGGAGUGCUCUUUCAUGCAGUCCAUCAGACUGAUUUCCAUUAUGGGUUGAAGCUUUGAUUCCAUCUGAACUCAUACGCUUAUCCAAGUACAAAGAGAAGGCUUUGGAAGCUCUUAAGCCAAAAUUAAAGGCCAGCAUCGAGAAGGGAAUUGCAUUCAUGCAGAAGCAACCGGUUAUCACUUAAAACCCAAGUUUUCGACAUAUCAAAACUCUGCUCUCGAGAGAUAGCUAGGGCUGCAUCAGUGGUUUCAGUUUAGCAGAACCGAAGUUUGUUUGAUUUAUUUUUCCAAUUACAUCACAGAAUACCAAAUUUAGAGGGGCAUUUUGAUGUUUGUAGAAUGUAGAUGAGAAAAAUAUAAACAUUUCUGAAUCAGGACUUUCGACAAUCUCAAAUAAAUGCUGCAUUUUAACUUUCUUUUAAUCCCGGCCAACAUCCUUCAAACAAAGUAGCAAUACUAGGGAUGUGCAUUUUUUUUUGUUUUAAUCAAAUUUAAAUUUAAAUCAUUAAUAUUUUAGAGGAGUUAAAAUUAAAAUAUUAUCUUUUUUUUAAUCCAAAAAUUAAUAUAUUACCAUCUAACCAAUGAAGAAAACCUACAUAUAUAUAUAUAUUUUUUUACAAGCGAAACAACUGAGUUUAUUAGCUUGGUUGAUUGUAGCUUCAUGCUACUAACAUAAAGAUUUCAAGUUCAAAGCUUGUAGAUUAAAUAAUUCGGUUUUUAUUUAUUCUAUCUGGUUAAAAUAAUAAUUGCCAUUAAAAUGGACUGAACCCUAUCUUUUCCAAUGUUAAUUGCGUUGUGUUUAUUCCAAUUCAUAAUUACAUGAAUUUUUCAAGUAAAAAUCGUUUUUAUGAAUUUUCGGGUGUUAAUGAAGUUUUUGGACCGUUAUCCCGGUCGACUCCUACUCCUAUUGGCUAACUCAAUCUGAUUCAAAGAUUUUUAUCAAUUAAUUUUAUAGAUUUACUUUAUCAACAAAAUCACAGGAUGAAGUUGAUGGCAAAUGACUAGGGAACCGCGCCAUUGUCAAAUUAAGCAAUUUUAACUCACGUCAGUUCUCAGAUUGCCCCCACCGGUGAUCAACGGUACUCGUAUUUCAGCUGCAUCGAUAGCUUACAGUCAGCAAAUUUCUAAACCAGAGAAAAUGGAAGGGUUAAAAUCAUCACAUACUGAAAUUUAAAAAAAUAGAAAAAUGACAAAUCUGUCUGCAAAUUCCCUGUUCAAGUUGGAUCAUUUACAUAAACUUCUAAGCCAAAAGUUCUUGCCAUUAACACUAUAUAUAUAUCUAUAUAUAUCCUGCUGCUCAAUAGACCGGUCGCCAUUGCAUAGCACUUGGAUCCAAUAUCGGGGUUCGAAUUUUCAAUCAAAAGCUAAUCUUAACUGUAACAUGAUGAAGAAGCUGCCAUCAGCUCCUUAUUUAACUUUUAAAACUUUGAAAGGCUGCGAAUAAUUUAAAUAAAUAUACAAAACCUCUUCCUCUUCUACAUCCUCCAACAAAAUUCUGUUGUGCUACGAGGACGGCAAGCUAAAGUAAAUGCAUCCGCUCCACGUAUGAUUGAAGUAACCAUCUGUUAAGAGGCUCUCCACACCCUAUGAAACACCCGGAAUUGCCAUUCUCGGUGAAAAAUGGAAAGCUAAAAAUACUGAGAAGAUCCUGAACAGCUUGUCUCACAAGUGAUGAUCCGGUAACCCUGCUCCGCCUGCCCCAUCCAGUCACUAUAUCAAUCCUGCUGGGACUGAUACCAGAAACUAGCAUUUGCUGGCGAAACCAGGCAAGUGUCCUAGACAAUGCUGUUACAGCAGUACCAUCCGACAUCACAUGUAGGUUGAUUAGCCAAUAACAUGAGCUUUUCUCUCUAACAGCUUCUGGGUACACAUUUUUCUCUGCAGCUACCUCCCAAACAGACCCAGCUUCCUCCUUAAGCCCCGAUUUGUGAAGAAAAUCCACAACAGCAUCCACCAGCCCCCUCUUGCUCUCUCUAUCCUCACUGUGCAUCAUAUCCAAGAACUUAUCCACAUGGUCCCGCACAUUUCGGCCAUCAGGUCCUGCUGAAGGCAUAGACAGCAGAAACAUAUGUGCGGGAUGACCUGUGACAGCCAUGAGCUGGGAACAAAUCCCCAUAUCAUAUGGUGACCUGCCUUCUGUACAAUAACUCAGGAGCAAGGUAUAAGUUUGCAGAGAAGGAUUUAAACCCAAAUCCAGCAUGCUUUGUAGCAAGUUAUAAGCAUCAGGCAACCUGUGUACUCGAAGGAAAGCGCUGAGCAAAGAAUUGUAAGUAGGAACAUUGGGGCGCAACCCAGCUUGCAGCAUGGCCUGAUACCAUCGCCAAGCCUUCUCAAUAUUACCGGCCUUACCCCAUAAGUCAACCAGCAGGCCGUAAACAGGUUCAUCUGGCACCCAGUUUUUCCUUUUCAUCUCACCAAAAAUUGCUUCUGCUUCAUCCAAAUAUCCACAGUGUCCAAGCACCUCCAUUACUAUGCUGUACGUGACCUUGUCAGGUUCAAAUCCAGCAUUCUGCAUAUCACGGUAAAGUUUUAAUGCGCUGUCAUAGUUCCUUGCCUUUGCUUGUAAAGCAAUCAUGAUGUUGUAAGUAACUAGAUUAGGAACACAACCAUGAUCGACCAUUUCACAAAACAGCCUGUCGGCAGCGGGUAAGUGCCCUGCUUUUCCGAGACAGUUGAUUAUCACACUAUAAGUGAAGGUAUCAGGCGAAAGGCCAACUGCUUGCAUUCUUUGGUACAAGUCCAUGGCAACAUCAAGAAACCCGGCUUUGGCGUGGAUAUCAAUAAGAGUACAAUACGUGACACGAUCAGGUUCACAACCUAUUUCCUGCAUUUGAUUGAACACGUUCAUAGCUUCAUUCAAGUAAUUUGCACGUCCAUAACUAUGAAUAAGACGAUUGUAUGUCACAACAUUUGGCUGACAUUCAUCCUUCACCAUCUGAUCAAGCAAUCUAUUUAUUGACCCGAACUGCCUUGCACGACCAAGGAUACCCACCAUGGUAGUGUAUGUAUGACCAUCAUGCUUGAAUCCAGCCUGCUUUUUUAACCAAUAGAAAAAGCCAAGAGCAACUGCAGGAUCUUGUAUUUGCUUUAGCACUUGGUUCGCUUGAUAUGCAUCCAUUGAAAAGUUGAGAUUUUUAAGAGCUUGCUCGGCAGCAGAGCCCCACUUCAGCUGUCGCAAUAUCUGGGAUACACUUUCCACAACAUGCCCCAUGCCUCCUAAAGGUCUGGUCAUACAAACUCCGGUGGUUGCCGUUUUCAUGUCUCCAAAGGAUUUCCUAAAACCAUCUAUGCCAGGAUCCGAAACCUUUGCAUGAGAAGGUAUUACAUUGGAAUUCAAGUUCGACAUAAAAUGAUGAGACUGAGCUUUCACUCUCUGUGGUAUAGGCUUCCUCCUAUCAUAAGUGUUUGCAGAACUACUAUGAGUUUCUGAUGAAUCCACAAAUUCCGCAUUUGAAACUCGCUUGUAACCUCUAACAAAAUUGGAUUUAUUAUUACCUCUAUCUUUCGUACCAUUGUAGCUAACUGUUGACUUAUCCCCAGCUGCUAUUUCAGAUGAUGGUUUCGGAUUGACUUUGGCAAUGUUCUCUCGUUUGACAGACCUGAAAGCUGGGGAUUUUAUAUUUGGAAGUGACCUUGUCGAUUCGACCACACAACGUCCAGGUGAGCCUAAUAUCGUACCCCCAUCAGACAAAGGAAGCUUAUAAUUCAUCAGGUCGGACAAGAACGAUACAGCUUCAAUGCCAACUUUAACAAAUUGGUCAGAAAUAGUAGCUGAUGCAUGUUCAUCAUGUUGAAUAGCAUUAGCGCUGCCGGCAGAAUUUACAAUGUUAGAUCUACGCAACGGAAUAGGAUUGGAGACAAGCUGUGGUGCUCUCUCAGCUUCAUGAGAAUCAACAGCUUGGGAUACAAUCGCCAACUUCAGAGCUCCCCUGGAUGAGGAUUUUGACAAAGCUUCAUUUCUUAUGUUCUGCCUUCUUGAAACACAGGACUCGUCUUCAGGGCACGUGCAUGAAUUCCCAUCUGCAGCAGUACCUCGUGAGCCACUAAAUAGAAAUGUCCUUGCACCAUUGGAGAGAUUACCGAUAUGCUUUGCUCGUAACAUGAUCUGCACGCACAGACCAGAAAAUUUUUCAAAGGAAGAAAAGUUUAACCCCUGUGUAUCAAUCAUUAAGAAAAACAUUGAUAAUACAAAGACAAGGCACUAAAACAAGCCAAAGGCAAAGAGGAUAAUCUGCAUAUUUGCUACAAAACAAAUAGCGUUACAUGCCACUAAAUGUCAGCUAAUUAUAUUUUGAGACAGAUGAAUAUCAUAUGAACAAUUUUAAAACCCGCAUUGCCCUUCGAUAUCUUCAUAACAGCUGGAAAAACAAUAGAACAGGUUACACAUCACAGAAUGAGAAGUUAUUGCGUCUAGACAUCGUAUAGAGCAUAUGAACAAGAAUCACCUUAAACCAAUGACUUCACUCUGCUGCACGGAAUAAACAAGGAGCCUGUUUUUUAUAAUCUAUAAAUUGUAUGUUUCUAAAAUAUUUUUCAGCUCUAACUCCUCUUUAUCAAUUCCAAAUGGGAGAACUCCAUGUGCCUACAACAUUUUUACCAGUAAUACAAACAUUCCGGAUACCUUAUCUACACUCUGCAACCGUAGAAGAAUGGUACCGAUCCCAGAGGUGACAUUCAAACACUUAUAAUGUGACAGAGAAACAUAAUUAGUCAAAAAGAAUGAUUCCUCCUUUUACCUGUCAAAAGAAAUAAUCCAUUGCAUCCACUAUUUUCCCUACUAACAGUUCAAAAUCCACCAAAAACCAAACAUAAGUUUGGUCUACAUCAUCGAUCUCCGAAAGCAGUAGGAAAAUAAGAAAAUUUCUCGAACUAGAUCUAAAAAAUUACAUAAUUUGGCAGCCCUUUCACCUCUUUUAGCAAGCAAUUCUCCAUUCACUUUAGCAUACUCUAAAUGACAACAAAAUCAGUCACCCGCAAAAGAAAACCAAUCAAAUAUAUUGCAAAUAACUUCAAUUAACACCAAGUGCUUUGUUUUACACAACAGAUCAAUAAGAACAACAAAAGGACACGGGCAACCCCAAAUCCCCCUUAAAAACGCUUCUUUUCCUUUGACUAACCUCUUAAUGCUGUUAACAAUUUAAACCCAAAAUAAAACAAGUUCCAAUUUCCUUUUAGAACGAACCAACAAAGCCUAUAUACUUAAUCAUGAAGUAAAGAAGGAAAAAAAGAAAUUAUCCAUUAAUAAAAAAAAACAUAAAGGUCUGUUUUUAAAUGGUGCAAUAUAAAACCAAAAGAGCUGAAACCCAGUAAAGGAAUGAUAUUAAGUUAUUAACAUAAUGCAAAAAAUUUAAAACAAGGAAAAGGAUCGUAGUUUAUGUGAAGAAAAAUACCUGAAAAUAAAGUUAAAGCUUCUGGGUCUGUUACAGAAAGCAGAGAAAGAAAGGAGAAGCCUCCGUAAAUUUUUAUUUAGAGAAAGAGAAACAGAGGCGGCUGUCUUCUUGCCUUUCUCUAUGUUGUCAACCCUUUUUUCUUCUUUCUUUUUUUUUUUUUCUUCCAAGCAAUUUGGGAGUGGCUGUGACGGUAGCAGUUUAUCACAGCUUUGCCUUUUCUCUUCAAAAUUUUGCUUUUCUUUAAUGGGUUAAUGUUACAUUUGGUACCCGAGUUUGGAUUCAAUAUUCAAUUUGGUACUUGAGGUUUUUUUUUUCCAAUGGCUUCAAUUUUCAAUUUGGUACCAAGACCAAAUAGCAUCAUGUGACCCUAACACAUGUUCUCUAGUAAAAAUACGAUAGAUACUUAAUUAGGACAAAAAAAAUGCUCGAGUACCAAAUUGAAUACUAAAACUAAACUCAAAUACCAAAUCAAGACAAAAGAGAUAUCAAAUUAAACAUUGAAACUAAUUUUAAGUACCAAAUUGUAUAUUAACCCUUUUCAUAAAUAUAUAAUCCGGUGUCUCUUACAAACUCCUAUUUUUGCCUUUAUAAAAAUAAAAACAAAAAAAUAAAUUUUAAAAUAAAAUAACAAAAUUAAAAAUGAUUAACACUAUCUUUAGGGUAAUUAAAUAUGAAGAACUAGAGAUUUGCAAUUAAUUUAUUUCAUCUUUUGUGAAUUAGGGUUUCCUUUGGGUUGUAAAUAUAUGGAGAUAAAGGUAGACAACCAAGCAACCACUGGGGUCUUUGUGGCUGCGAGGUUAGCCUUAAAAAAAAUCAUUCCAUUAUGCUUUAAUUUUAUUUGGAAAUUUUAUAUUUUUAUUACACUUAAAAAAAAACUCUUUAAUUUUAUUUAACAUGUAAUAAACCUCAGUCCUUUUCAUCGUAUUAAGAAAUUAACCUUGAAUUAAUAUUUAAUACCUAAAUAAACUUUUAGCAUGAAUCAAUUUUUUGUCUUUCAUUUGAAAUAAAGACUUAUUUAAGUUCAAUAAACUAUAAAAAUUCACUUAAAGUAUAUGUAAAAUUUAAGCAGGAAAAACUAUAAAGAAAAUAUUUAAAUACUUUUAAAUUAACAAAAGGAAAAGUGUAUAAAAUAUACAUUGUUUAUUUUUUUUGUUAAAUUAAUAUUUAUGCAAAUAUAUGUUGUAUUAUUGGUGGAGUAUUAAUAGAUAUAAUAUAUUAAAAUUUGACAAAUAUAAAAGUAGUUUAUCUAGAGAAUUGUUUAAAAAAAAACUUUUGUUAUGUUAAAUACAGUGAAUUUUAAAAAAAUAUUUAUUUCUUUUUUUUUGAAUUAUAAUAACGGGAAAAACCUAAAUAAUUAACAAAAAGUUCAUUUAUUUUUAACCAAUAAUGUUUUGUUCCCUAUAAAAUGAGCACCAAGUAUAAUAAUAUUUUAUUAGUUUGAUUAAGACAUGUAUUAGGACAGAACUGGGCAAACUUUUUUUUGUCUUAUUUGGGUCAAAAUAAACCCAACUUUAAUAAUUAAAUUCCUAUAGUAUAUAAUAAAUUAUAAUAUAAAAUAUAUUUUAAAAUUUGAAAGUUGAAAAUUAAAUUUAAAAUUUAUAUUUUUUUGUUAAGAUAAUGAUUGAAAUUAAAAUUAUUUUUACUCGUAAAACAGUUAAUAAGAAAUAAAUAUAAUGGGGUCUGUUUACCCAAUUAAGAUGAAUUUAAAUAAAAAAAUUUAAAUUUUAUUGAGCUGAAACUCAAUUUGAGCCACAAUUUGUUUCUUUUUCUCGUAUAAAAUUCGUCAAGCUGUUUACUUUGAAUAUAAAUAUAUAUAUAUUUAUUUAUAUAAUUUGUUGAACAAGUCCCCCACGGAUGGCUAGAAAAUUCCUUAAUAUUUAAUUUACAUAUUUUUAUAAAGUCCAAUCAGCAUCAAAAUAGAAUAUUCCCUUGGUGUGGAUGAUUCUAGAAAUCCAACGGUAAUGAUCGGUUAUAAGGUUAGACGCGAGGGAGAAGCGCAUUGGAACACAUAGCUUUAGCUUUGGUUUCUUUGUUUCACCAUCAUCACCGUCCUUCAUCAUCUUUGCAACAUCAGUUGAGACCCCCAUGCCCCCAUUGUCAUCUUCUUCUUUGACACUAACCUUUAAGAUCUCUCUAACAACCGCUCCUCUAUAUGUUUCAACUGGUGUUGCAAAAAUUAUGAAUGAUGCUGAUGAUGGUGAAACAAAAAAAAAUAAAAGCUAAAGUUACGUGUUUCAAUUUUAUCGAUUUUGGUUUAAAAACAAAUUUUGAAAUGAAAAUUAAAAUAUUGGGUUUAAUUUUUAAAAAUCCAUGUCAAAUUUCUGUUUAUUAUUUUAACAGUAGUGACUAAAACGAUUAAACCAUGUAACGUGGGUACUUAAAUUAUAAUUUUUUAUUUAUUAGUUAAAAUAAAAAAUUUUAAUAAUGAGGUGACCACUUGUGUUAUUUACCCUAAUUUUGAAUGUGAUAUGUUUUUACACAUACGCAAGCAAUUAAUUAUUGACCCAAAAAAACAUAUUUAUAACGUAUGCUAUGACAUGUGAAAAUUGACCAAACAUAAAAAAACAAAAACAAUACUCAAUAAUAUAUAUUUUAUUUGUUUUCAAAAGUUAAUUAAGAAAGUAAAAUAUGAAUUCUAUAACAUGUUUUUUUUAUAUUAUUUAUGUCUAUUUUAUGAUUUAUAUUUAACGUUUAUGAUUGUUACUUUUAAUAAUAUCGUCUUUAAUGUUUAAACUUGAAUCAUUCAUUUAAGAGUGUAAUAUAUUUUACCAUUGUAUCUAAUCAUAUUAAAUUAAUUUAAUAUUAUUGUUAUAAAUUAAAUGUUAAUUUGGUUUAUAUUAUUAUUAAAAUAAACUGAAAUGUGCGAAUUUGAGUAUGUUUAACUGUUUUGGUAGGUUUAACGAGUAAAUAAAAAAAGAAUUUAAAAGUAUUUUUGGCUACGUGUAAAUAAAAAAAUAAUUGAAGAGUAAUAUAUGUUUCUUGGAGCUUACGCAUAAUUUGGGGUUUGUCGUAAAUCCCACGAAUCCAGGGUGAACAAAGAAAGAUAAAAGAUACUUUAUGUCGCUGAUACUGAGACUUCCAUUCAGGAAACGAGUACAACUCACGUAUUCUACUCGCUAGUUCCACCAGCCACGUGUUUCGAAAAAAUUGAGCAAAAAUAUUAGGAGUCAUUUCGUUUACAUUCACCAUGCGUGAUACUAUUUUUUUUGGUAGGGUGAUACUAUCAUUAAAAGGGUUAGUACAAUUAUUUAUUUUAUAAAUAAUUUUAAAAAAUUAUCAUUUUUUUUAUUUUUUUAAAUAAAUAUUAACGGACAUGUUACAUUCUUUUAUAGUUAAAUUAUGUUAUAAUAUAAGAUUUUAAUAUUUGUGAAGAAGUAUAAUAUUAAUUAAAAAUGUAUUUUACUAAAUAUUUUUAUGAAAAUUGUUUCUAUGUUAUUACAUAAUGGUUUAAGCUUGUAGUUUUUUUUUUAUUUUAGGUAAUUAUUUGAUACAUGGGAGGUAAAAUUUUUUAACUUUCACAAGUAAGUUAAGAUUUUUACAUAUCCAUUAUUUUUAAGUAAUUUAAAUACAAUUUAAAGACAUGUAAUAAAACCUUAACAUUGCUUACGAAAAUUAAAAAUUUCAUUACUAGUGUAUCAAAUAAUCAUCUUUUUAUUUUUACUAAUAAGUUAGGACUAGUAAUUGGUACAUGACAGUGUGUACUUUUAAUUCCACAAAACAUAUUUAAAAUUUUGACAUGUGUCUCAUUUCUUUUAUAUAUUUGUUGAUGGAGACCGACCUUUUCAGGAGAAGUCUCUUAAGUGUCGCCCUUCGGACGGCCGAUAUGGUCCUCAACAAUCAUAAGUAUUAUCCCAAGACCUGAUUUUUGUCUCCUGAUCUCGUGGAGAGCUCCAAAGGUUCAUGGAGUGGGAACAACUCGAUUGGUGGAGAAAGUAUGUACCUAAAAAAUACAUAGAUAAUUAAUUGAUGAAGUCACACACGAUGUGGAUCGAACCACCAACCAAGGCAUAAGUAGUCUUUUCAACGAGACAUGGUACCACUUGCUUGGUGUUUCAAUCCACAUAUUGCAUGAGUUUGCCAAUUAAUUAUCUACGCACACUUCAAAUACGUAUUAUUUCCACCAACCAAGGUAAUUCCACACCGUGAACUCUUGGGGAUUUCCACGGAGUUGGGAGACAAAACUCGGGCCCUGGGAUAAUACCUAUCAUUGUUGAAGGCCGUAUCAAUUACCCGACAGAUGACACUUUAAAGACUUAUCCCGAAGGAGUCGAUCCCCCUUAACAAUAUUUAUAUUUUUAAUAUUUAUUAUACCUUAUAUGACACUUUUUCAUCACCUUGGUCUUGUUUAUAAAGUUUAAAAAAUUCACUAACAAUGUACUAAAUAUUUUUUCAUGAAUUAAUGCAUAUUGUUAAUAAGUUAACUUUAUAUCUAUUUUUUAAAUGAAUAAAUUGAAUUGUAUAAGAGCGAUAACUAAAUAGGGCUUUUCAAAGAACUAACUAGUGAUGUAGUUGAAAUGAUACAUUAAAGUGUAUAUUUCAAAGAACCAGGUAAUUUAAUUCAUUAGUUGUUAUUAUAUCAUUUUAGUAGGAUUUAAAUGAAAUGAUUCAGAGUCAUUCAGUAUAGGUAAAUCUAAGGAAUAAGUGGUAUUGAAAUUACCAUUAUAUUUAGGAAUAUUGGUACUAUUGGCACUAUCAGAUGAAGCGAAACAUGGUGAUACAGGCCUUGCUGCGGUUGGGGGUGUGAUCCAGGAUCAUAAUGGUAAAUGACUUCCGAGGUGUGCUAGAAACAUUGAAACUUGAUUGGUUAUUGAAGCUAAAUUAUGGGGGUUUGAGGGACUCGAGCAAGCGUAAAGUUUUUAUUGAAAUGGAUAGUAUGAUAGCAACAACAGUUUGUGAGUAAGCAAGUGACGGAUCAUCUAGAAAGCACAUUUGCAAAGGUAAUAAAGGAAUUGAUGUGAUUAAACGAAGAGGUCAAAGUUUUGGAUAUUUACAGAGAAAUGAAUAAAGUUGUCAAUACCUUAGCCGCUUUCACUUUCUCUAAACUUUUGGGUACACAUAAGUCUUUACAGUCACAGGAUGAAAUAAUCCGACUUUUACACAAUUAUCUAUAAAAAAUUUUGAUAUAUUCAUAAAAUGAUUGUGAUUUAAGUUUCUAACUUUUCGUAUCUUAUAAAAAUAUUUUUUAAAAUAUUAUAUUAAUUUUCCUAUCAUGAGUAUAUAAAUAUAGUAAAGUAAUUCAAUAUAAUUUGUAUCUUAUAUUAUCCAAAAUAAAAUUUAAGUCAAAGUAUUCCAAUCAUAAUUAAAUAAAUUUUAUUAAUAGCUAACACUAUUUUAGUCCAAUGACACGAACAUUAUAUUCUAGGCAUGAAAAUAUCUCAUUCAUUUCUUUAAUUAUAAAUAUAUAUAUAUUAAUAACUUGUUUUACUGAAAUAAUAAUAUUAUUAUUAUUAUUUUCAAUUUUUGAUCCAUAUGCAAAUAUUAAAACCAUCCCAUAUGAGUGUAAUGUUUAAUGGGCUGGGUCUUAGCUUUUGGCGAAUGGGCAGCAUUUCACAAAUACUGAAGCGGUGACAGUUUUUGUUCCUUAGACUCGGUAUUUGGAUACGUGGCCUACGUACUUUACUUGGAUUUGAAAUACAGUACUUGACAUAAUGAAUAUAGUAUCUUGAAAUGUAAUUUUGAAGGAUAUUAAUCCGUAAUUUCAUAAAUUUAUUAAUUUUAUCAUUUUAAGAAGUUGAAGUUUAUUGUCUAUUCUCAACUUUCAUUUACGGUCCAAACCGAAUCCAAAUAACAUUUGAGACAUAGCAUAUAACAUGCCAAAUACGUGGAGAGAAAAAGGCUCCUCGUUUGUCCCUGGGAGGCCAACAAAAUAGCUGAUUAUAUGAUUAAACUGAACGUGAAAAGACAAAACAACUUACAGGUGUUCGAUAAACCUCCAAUAUAGAUUAUAGUUUUUCUCCAAUCUGACGAAGUAAAAAUUUUGUAUGAAAAAGGUUAUACCCAUUGUUUAUUUAAAUUAUUUUUUAUGCUAUAAUACUGGGCAGAAGAAGCACAGGCCGACACCCUAGUAAAAAUCUAAAAGGUGAAAGCACUUGAAAACUCCCUCCAUUAUAGGGAUUUUAUUAAUUUAGUCCCUCAACUAUUAAAUGGAUUAAUAUAGUCCCUAUACUAUUAAAAAGAAUCGAAUAAAUUCAAAUUUUAAUAAAACUAACAUUUGUUGUAUAAAAAAGUUAAUAUAUAUAUAUAUAGAUUUUAUGAUUUUGCAAAUGUAAUCUUUUAUUUAGAGUUGAACUCAGAAUGAAAGAUAUAAUUUUCAUUUUACUUUUUAUAGGUUAAAUGUUAACUCCAUCCAAAUAUGACAUUAUUUUAUUCAUUUUAAUUAUAUAAUAUUUAAAUUGAUCUAUUUAAUAGAAAAUAGACUAAUUUAAUCUGAUUACUAUGUUAGAGGGACCUGCUUGAUAUUUUCACCUAAUCUAAAAGAAGUGAACCGCGGAUGUUUCAUUAAUGGGGCAAGCAAUGUCAGCCAGGAAGUACAUGAGAGCAGGCAGUUGUGGUCAAAGAUUUUUCUUUUAUUUCAUCCUCUAAUUUUAUAAUAUAUUUUAAUCCUUAAUUUAUUUAUUUUUAGGUUUGUUAAUUUUGUUGAAGUGGUAAACACGUGGAUUGCCAUGUAGAUUAUAUAUUAUCGUUUUAUUAAUUUUUUAAAAUUUUAAAAAAAUAUAUUUUUAUCAUUUUUAAUAAUUUUUUAUUUUUAAAAAAUAAAAUUAAUUAAAUGCAGACGCGUCAUCCAUAUGACAAUUCAUGUGUAUACCAUGCUAGCAAAGUAAAAGAAACCUUUACUUUUUAUUCAUUUUAAGUGAUUUGACAACAAAUGUAAGUUCCAAAAAGUAAAAGAAACUAAAAAUUAAAUAGAAAACUAAAAUAUUUUUUUUUAUAAAAUUGGAGGGAUAAAAAAUUCAUUAUGCCAUUUAUCAUUUACUAUCAUAUCCCGUAUUAAACUCUUAGCAUAAAUUUUUUUCUUUUAAAUAAAAUUAUAAUAAAUUAAUAUGAUUUUAUUUUAAAUAUUUGUUAUCACCUGUUUUUAAUAAUUAUAUUCAUUUAUUAUAUAUUUAUACUCGAGAAAAAACACCAAUUAUGUAUAAAACAAACAAACCAAAAUAUAAAAAGUUUCCAUCAAACAAAUAUUUUAAAAAUAUUUUAGAUUUACAAUUACAAAAAUAAUAAUCAAAUACAAUAAUAUUUUAAAAUUUAUUUAUAUGAAAUAAAUUAUUUACAUAUUCAAUUUUAUACAAAUAAAAAUUAUUAUACGUAACUCAAUUAGCAUCAUUGAUAUCGUAACAAUAAAGAGAACAUGAAUUCAAACAUACUUAAGUAUCUUAAUGUUUUCAGAAUUGAACCGAUCAGGUUACCGGUUCAUCAAUCCAAUCGUAUUGAUUUUCGUGUCAACCGGUCCGAUGACUCUCUAAAUUAAUAUCUCAACUGAUUCUCGAUCUGGUUGAUUAAUUCGAUAGGAUUAAAAAAGAAUUAUGAGUUUGUUCAAAAAUUAAUUAUUAUCAUAUGCAAGAAUAAAGUACAUAGAUAAAAUAUGAGUACAUGAAAAAUUAAUAUAACAUGCAUGAAUAAAAAAUAUUUAAUAAUUAAAAGAAAAAUGGGAACUACAAUAUUUUGCCAUCACGAACGAACAUCUAUAAAUUGAAAAGAUAAAGGUCAAAAAAUAAAUGGAAUCUUUACUAAUAUUAUUCCAAGGCGUGGAGUGUGAGGUGGGGGCCGGGUAAUGGAAAGGGCAUUUUUUUUUUCCUUUUCUUUUUCCCAACAUAAUGAUGGAGGUCAUCUAUUUCUACUUUAUUUUUAUUUUUUCCCUUUUUAUUAGAUGGGGUCUACACUAAUUAUCUAUGACAGACUAUAAAGUUCCCCUGCAUUAAACUUAAAAUGACUCCUCAUCAUUGCCUUGUGAGGUUUAACUUAUUUACUUUAUUCCAUAUUUAAAUAUAAAAUACAAAAUAUAUAAGAUGAGUAAUCAAAUAAAUUCGUUGGAUACAUAUAACUUUUUCUUAUAUAUAAAAUGAAAUUAGUUAUGGGACAUUGAAAUCACACUCCAACAUUUAAUGCAUUAACAAAACCUCUACCAAUGGUUCCACCACUUUGCGGGGCACAUAAAUAUGUGAAGUACACAUUUUAAAUUUCUCUAUAUUAUUAAUGUCAUGACGCAUAAGUCAAAUAUACUGAGACUAUAGUAAUCUAAUCUACAAAAAAAAAAAGGAUCAAAUAUUAGAGUUGCUAUCAUAUAAUUGUACAAGUUGUGCAAUGAAUACAAGUAAACAAUCAUCACUGAUUUCGUUUAUUUUCGUAGUCGUAAUCGUAUGUAAGAUCAAUAACAAUGAUCAUGACGAGUAAGCACUUCAUUUUACAUUUUCAGUUAAUGUUUCUGGUUUUAUUUAUAAUUAACAUUAAUUUAAUUAAAAUGCUCCUAAAAUUUAUCUAUAAUAGUUAUUUACUCUUUCUAAUAACUUUUCACCUCUAAUUGUAAUUAUUAUAAAGUAUGAAAUAUAACUUUUAUAAUAAAUUUUAUCUUAAAUUUUAGCAAAAUUAAUUCUAUUCUAAAUGAAAUAAAAUUCUACAUUAUUUCAAUUAAAAAAACUUAAAUUAUAUAUAUAAAAUAUUAAUAAUAUUUUAUUAAACGAGAAUAAUAUUUGAUAAUAUAAUUAUUAGAAUAAUAGUUAUAAUAUUUUUUAAUUAUAUAUUUAACUUGUAAAAUGUAAUUACACCAAAAAAAAGUCAUCUUAGUUAAUUAAUAUAAAUUAAAUUAAUAUAACAUCCGCACAUAUUUACGUGGAACUUAAAUUUGUACAUUCAAAACUCAUGUACACCUAUACAUAAACCCAUGGACGUUUUUAGAUGGCCAUAGCUCGUGGAGUUGUGAAACGGAAGGAUUAAGUGGAAGUUCCACGCGUUUGCCAUGUGAAUGAAAAAUGUUCACACUUCACACAGCGUGUGUGUAGAGGCAGAGGAACAAACGUGGUCCAUUUCCACGCUUUGAUUUUCCUUCCGACUCCUAAAGAUAACCCCUUUUCUCAUGGGUUUGAAAAUUAUCAACUCAACUUCCUGUCAACGGUUGGCUAAUAAUAAUUAUUCUUUUUUAAGGAAAGAAAAUGUCUUUAAUUUGUUCCAAUUUAUUCAACAUGUUGAAAUUGAACUUAUCGAUACAUCAUUCUAGAGUAAAAGAGAAAAUGAAUUAACUCGUAUUUUGAUAUAAUUUGGAACAAAAAAUAUUAUUUAAAUUGAUAAUUAAGUUACAUUUUAUAAUCUUCAAUAUAAUUUAUUUAAUUAAAACUAAAUUAAUAAUCGAAUGGAGGAAAUAAAAAUUCGAUUAUUUAAUCGAUUCCAGUACCGAUGGGGUUAAAAAACUUCCGCCUAUCUAGAAGUUUUUUGACACAGGAUUUCUUCCUUCAAAUUUCAAGGGGGGGGGGGGGAUUGCAGUUAAGUGCUUUUGACGGUUGGGCUAGCUUUUAUUUUUAUAUUUUUUAGUAAGUCAAAAAUAAAAUAGAAAACCUUUAAGUUCUAGAUCUAUUAUUUUCUAACAUUUAUAUUUUUAUAAUUUAUAUAAAAUAUAAAGCAUUACAUUUAUAUUGUAAGAAUUAUGUUUAUACAUGAUUUUAAUAUAUAAAAUAUAAUGUAUAUUAGUGGAAAGUAUUUAAAUUUUAUAUCAUAAUAUUAGUAGAUUUAAAUAUCAUUUAAGUUAAUUUAUUUUAGUUGAUGAUAUUUUAAAUUUUUAAUUAGAUCCUCAAAACUUUUAAAAAUUCUUAAUAAGCCUUUCAAAUUUUUGAAGCAUUUAAUAUAGCUCCUUGUGUUUCUUUAGAAAUUCUCAUUAAGUCUUCAAAGUGUAAUAUCAAGAUCGAAUCGUAAACCUUUAAACUUAAGAAACAAUUUUUUUUUCACGAUACUUUCCAAAAUCACGUUUUUUUCAAUCUAAACUUUUCAAAAGUAUUUUUCAACCGCAUCAACAACACUAAACCAACCUUUAAAAACAAAUCAUAUAAAAACUUAAACCGUCCUAUUUAUGUUAAAGGGAGUUAAAUUACUCAAAAUUUUAUAAUAUAAAACAAAUUUCAAAUCUUAUCGCCCGCAUAUAUGUGUGAAAAUUACAAAUUUAAAACAUAAAUAUUACUCAAAAAAUAACAUAUAAUAAAUAGUGAAACAUAUUAUUUAAAAUUGAUUACCAAUAACAUUAUAAAAAUAGGGAGGAGAGCAUUUACUAGCUUCAACCUUGCUUAAUAAAGGGUAAAAUGAGGUAGGAAUAAUAACUAAUAAGGUAAAGAAGGAAUGGCUUAAGCUUAGGUAACCUUUUUUUCCCUUUCUUUUAUGUUUUUACAACUUCAUUUGUUUUUAUUUUUUCAUUGGGGAAAUAAUUUGGGGUUGACUUUGAUUGGUUGGAAUGUUGAAUUUUGUAAACCCCCUUUUAUUUAAUAGUGGUAUUAAUGAGAUUAGGCUGAUUUUGAUUAGGAUAGCUGAGCUAUGCUAAACAAAGCAAAGCUGCCUUGAAAGACUUUGGUAUUCGGUGAGUGCUUCAUUUGUUCAAUCCUCAUCUUUGACCACGUCUCCACCUAACAAUGCCCUGCCCUGCCGUCUGCUUGCAUUUUCUAACCAAUUUCCCAAUUCGCACCUACUCUUUUUUUUUUUUUUCAUAUAUUGGGCAAUAUUCCUUGUAAUUUGUCAAACAAAAUCAUUUAAUUUUAGAUUAUGGGAUAUUUACUGACUGAGUGUAUAUAUUGAUUCAAUAUAUAAUUUUUUUGUGUAAUUAUACGUGUUAAAUUUUAAUUUUGAUUCAAAUACACAUUUAAAUAAAUUGAUAUAUUAAUUUAUUUUUCUAUUGGAUAAAUAUAGUUAUUUAUUCAUGUAAUAUGUAAGCAUAAACUGAUGUUAUGUCAAUAAUGAUGUAGGGAUUUGUGAAAAUUGAAUCUAAUCAUGAUGUCACGUAUAAAACUAUACAAAUUUAAGUUUAUGUAUGACAUUGUACAUUAAACUCAAAUAAAUAAUCAAUACGGAGGGAGAUAUACUUAUAUUGAUGUAGAACUCAAUACGAUUAAUAUUUUAGCAACCCAAAUAUUAAUUUUUUCAAUAUAGUUAAAUUUGUCGUGCACAUAAAUUCUUGAAUUGAUCCGAUAUUUUUAUUUUAUCGAUCAAAAUAUUGUUUUUAUUAAUAUAUAUUUAACAGUUAAAAACUUUUUUUACGUAAAAUUCAAGUAGUUUUACACAUCUUUAAGUAGAUUCUCAGUAAAUAUAUUUAUUAAAAGUCUAUAUAAAAAAAUAAACCAUCGGUUAAAAUGGUAAAUGUUUAAAUUUUAUUAUGUUAUGGGUUCAAAUCUCAUCAUAAUUGAGUUUUUGUUAGUUUUAUAUAAAAUCAUAAAAAUAUAACUUAUUUUGUAUAUAUAAAGAUAUUAGUUGAAGUGUCUCGAUUAAUGAAUCAUAGUAAAAUUAUUGUUGAAAGUCGUUGAUAUGAUAAUGGAAAGUUUUGUGAAUACUCUUUUGAUAGCCUCGUACGAAGGAUUAAUGAGAUCAAAAGACAGUUAUAAAAAGUUCAAUUCCAAUUUGUUCCAAGAGAGGCUAAAUUAGGCUCGGCUGAUGAUGUUAAACUUACUAUUUUUGAGUUUCAUAGCUUUCCUUGUUAAGAAAUUGUUGUUAGAAGAUAAACUCGGUGCAUCACAUGUAAGAUUUAUUUAAUCUAAAGUCACUCGAUUGUCUUAUUUCAUCAUUAAAAAAGAAGAAGAAUAAGAAGAAGAAAUAUUUUUGUCAAAUUUUUAACUAAAUUGGUGCUUCAUUGAUUCACGACCCUAACUCAAUUAUGAGUUUACAUAAUAUAGAUUAAAAUAUUAUGACAAUAAAAUUUUUUAAUUCUACAAACAAAAAAACUGUUAGAUUAAAAUUAAUAUUUACAAAAUAAAAAAUAGAUGAAUGAUAUAUGACGAUUAUUUAAUAUCACUUGUAAUAUUAAAAAAAAAAAAUCCGUUACUAAUGUUUCAAAUAAUAAACCUUAAUAUUACCUAAUUUAAAUUUAUCCGUUUUCACUAAGCAAAAUUAAUGGCCUCUGACAUUGCGCCAAGGUUUUUAGAUGGCAGUUAGAGUUCGGUGUUUGAACCAAACUUUUGACUAUUUUGUUUCUGUUUUUUUUUUAUUAACUAGAUUCAAAUAUAAUAUAAAAUAGUUAAAAUAUUAAACACAAGUAUUAAAUGUAUUAAAACAUAUGUAUGUUCAUUUUAUGUUUUUUUUCGUGGUCUAGCUUCUAGAAUGCCAAUUUAUGAUAAAUUUAUUUUCAAUUUACUAUCCACAUAUUAAUAAUAAAAGUAAAUGUAUUUAGUAAAAUUCGAUUCAAUUUGAAAAAAUUCAAAUUUUAAGUUAUUCGAGUCAACUUGAUUAAGUAAUUCGAGUUUCGAGUUCGAGUCGAGUUAAAUUUUACAAUUCGAAUAAUUCAAAUAAUAGAUUGGUGUAAUGUCCUUUGGUCCCGUCAAUUUUAAAAAUAAGCAAAUUAGCCUCUCUCAACAAAAAUUACAAAAAAAAAUUCAAAUUUUAUAUUUUAGAAAAGUAUAUUUAAAAAAAUUUAAAAAUAUAUAAUGAAAGUUAAAAAUUUGAAAUUUUUCUAAAAUAACAAUUUUGGGACUUAAAUAAGUUAAUUAAUGAUUCAAGUUUAUCAUACUAAAGUAUUUUAUUUUAUUAUGAAAAGUCUUCAAAUAUAUAUGAUUUCACAUUUAUGUGCCAUAACAUGGCAUUAAUUAUACUAUAACAAUAUUUUAAUUUGACAUGUUUAAUUUUUUAAUAUAACUCCAAUAAUUUUACUCGAUUCGACUUGACUCGAAUUUCAUUUUACUCGACUCGAUUUGAAAUUUUUUUAAAUCGAGUUAGAAUGAUAACAUAAGACUCGAUUUAACUUGAUUCAAUCAAACGUUAUGUAUUUAGUUUAACAAAUUCUCAAAUUUUAUUUUAUUUUUCGUUGUAAUGAGAUGUGUGUAUAUAUAAGCACAAAAUUAAAAAUUAUAUUCAAAUUUUUGUCCUAUUGCUUUCAAAAAUAAAAAUAAAAAUUAAGCAACCAACCCAUCAAGAAAGAAAGAAAAAAAAAACAGCAAUAAAGUAGGUCAAAUAUUUUGAGCAACUCCUCAUACUAAGUGCAAGUUGCAACCAAACCAAAUAGUUAAGCAUCGUCCAAAAAAGAUGUAUUACCUAAUAAUAAUAAUUAAUAAUAAUUUAGAUAGUAACAAAAUAAUAUUGUAGUACUUAUGAGACCGUCAAAUAAUUAUUUAAUGGAUUUAUCAAUGUAUAGUUUGACUUCCAAAAACAUAAUUAUAAUAAGUAAAUGAAAUUUUUGCUUCAACUAGCAUGUUUAUAUAUAAUGCAUUUAAAUUAAAAACAAAAUUAGUGAUAUUUAAUGGGUUAGUAUUUUAUACAUGAAUAGUAAAAACAACAGAUUAAAUGGAUAAUAUAAGUUUUGGCCUUUGAACUUGAUAAUUAGGCGUUCACUUUGGUACUUAUAAUUUUUUGGUUCAUUUUAACACUUAAAUUUAACAAUUAGAUCCAUUUUUAUUUCUAAAAUUAAAAAAUAUAAAAAGUUUGAUGAUGUGACACUCUAAAGUUGUGCCAUAUACUUGAAAUUUUAACAAAUUAUAUAAAUUUUUUAGCGAUGACGUGAUACAAUUUUAGAGUAUUACAUUCGAUGUUUUAAUAACCAAAUUGGUGAUUUCAGUCAAAUCACUGGUUAUCGAUUCAAUCAUCAGACCAACAAUGAUUUAAAUAAAUAAUUAAAAAAUCAUAAAAACAUUAAAUCGGUUCAACAUAUUCAACUGUUGAUUUUUGUUCUAGUUUUUUUUAUUCAAUCAGUCUGAUUGACCAAUCCAAUCAUGUUUCAAUAGCACUAAUCAUAUUAUCAAAUCUUCGAUAGAAUCUAAAUUCAAAGACUAAAAUAAAUCUAAUUACAAAAUUUAGAUAUCAAAAUACACCUAAUUCUCAAAUUGAGUUAUACCAAAAAAACAAAAAAAACUUCUAGAUGCAUUGGCAUCCGCCUAUAUUUUCUAUGUGUAUACAACUGUCGACAAUAGAUUUUUUUGUUUUAAAUUUUGAGGGGAAAAAGAAAAAAAGAAAAAUUAAAAACGGAUGGCUGUCUUGGAAUAAUAAAAAGCAACGGCUGGGAUUAAAGCAAUAAGUUUUUCAUCUUGUGGGUCCAAAAAAUCAUUAGAUUGUUUUCCGGUGCUUCAAAAUUUUUUCUAGAUAAAAAGAAUUGAAAAAUUAACUUAAUUUAUAUUUUUUUGGAAGAUUCCCUUGUCAAAAUACAUUUAAAAGAAAUUUAUUUUUUAUUUAAAUACAGCUGGACAUCCUAUUUUUGAAAAACAAGAACGCAGGAAAAUACAUAAUCAUAUCAAAUUAUUUAACAAAAUUACAAAAUAAAUAUAAAAUAUAACUGUGACACAUGUAGUUGCAUGUCAUAUAUAGUUAAUUUAAUAGGUAAAAACCAACCUACAAUAUAAAUUACAUAAUUUUUUUAAAAUUAAGAUAAUUAAAAAAAGUAUACAUGUUAUAAAAUAUUUGAUAAAAAAAUCCCGAAAUGUGACGGUGCAAAUUUACAGCAUAUUGACUUUGUUUAUGAAGACGAAUCAUUUCGCUCCACAUUUCAUACUAAUUAACCAAUUAAUCACAUUAAGAAAAAGAUCAUUAUAUUAACAAUUAAAUAAUCAUUUUUCCCAAAAAUCUAUUAAUAAAAUAAUAAUCAAAAUCAUACUAAGAAGAAAUUUCAAAACCCCCCGUUUUUCUCGACUGACCAGUUCACCCCGCGUUUUCAUUCAUUUCAUUUCAUUUCUUUCUUCCUUUCUCCGCCUUCUUCCGCCGUCGUCCGCCCACCUACCCCGCAACGUCGGCGGCUUAGUUUUUUUCCGUUGUUCUUUGAAUUCUUUUUUGUUAUGGGAAACUGUAACGCUUGCGUUAGACCGGACGAGAGUCCGGAGAGUAAACCGAACCGGUCCGACCAGAACCAGAAGGGAAAGAAAAAAGCCCGGGAAAGGAAACCGAACCCGUUCUCUGAGAAAGUUGCCUCGCCGGCUCCGAUCCGAGUUCUGAAAGAUGUGAUCCCACUGAGUCACCGAACUCGAAUUGGGGACAAGUAUAUCCUCGGGCGCGAGCUCGGCCGAGGUGAAUUUGGGAUCACCUACCUCUGCACGGACAGGGAAACGCGCGAAGCCCUCGCGUGCAAGUCAAUCUCCAAGCGGAAGCUCCGAACAGCAGUCGACAUCGAAGACGUCCGACGCGAGGUUGCUAUAAUGUCAACGUUGCCGGAACACCCGAAUAUUGUGAAGCUAAAAGCGACGUACGAGGACAAUGAAAAUGUUCAUUUGGUUAUGGAGCUUUGUGAAGGAGGGGAAUUGUUCGACAGGAUAGUAGCGAGGGGGCAUUACACGGAACGCGCGGCGGCGAACGUGGCGAAGACGAUAGCAGAGGUGGUUAGGAUGUGCCACGAGAAUGGCGUUAUGCAUAGAGAUUUGAAGCCCGAGAAUUUUUUGUUUGCUAACAAGAAAGAACACGCGCCGCUAAGAGUGAUUGAUUUUGGUUUGUCUGUGUUCUUUAAGCCUGGUAUGUGGAGUAAUUAAUUAAUUAUUUAUUUAUUCCAUUUUUUUGAGGUUUUACGUGGGUUCCUUGAUGGUUUGGAACUUCAUCUGAUAAAAUUUUGGAUUUUUAAAGUUUGGGUUGGAUUCUUUUUCUUCAAAAAAUUCCCUGGCUUCCCCAAUUGUGUGGUUGAAGAAGGGUUUUUGAAUUCAUUUUAAGGGUUUUGGUCGCUUUUUCUACUCUGAAUUUAUAGAAUAAAGUAUUUUUUGUGUGGGUUUUGGCUUGUUUCUGUGACAAAGCUGAGUGCUAUGGGGAUUUCUGUGUUUUCCCCUGUUUCUGUGGGACUCUUUGAUUUGACUGGAUUUUGGAUUUUGCUAGUUGGAUGUUUGUUCGACCGCUAAAUCUUGAGUUUUUUGGAGUUGGAUUACUGUUUUAGGGAGAUCCAUUCAUGGAUUUCAGCUUGAUAUUUGAGAUUGGAUUUAUUUUUACAGGGGAGAAGUUUUCUGAAAUCGUGGGGAGUCCAUAUUACAUGGCCCCUGAAGUUCUGAAGCGAAAUUAUGGACCAGAGGUUGAUGUGUGGAGUGCUGGUGUGAUCCUUUACAUUUUAUUAUGUGGGGUUCCCCCCUUUUGGGCAGGUACUCCUUUUCUACUUUUCCAUGGUUGUGCUGUUUCAGACACUCUCGUGAAGAUGUGGCAUUCAUACAUAUAUAGAUAGAUAGACACACACUGAUUUUGUACCUUCAUGUACUUUUUUUCCAGAGACUGAACAGGGAGUUGCUCUUGCAAUUUUGAGAGGGGUCAUUGAUUUCAAGAGAGAACCUUGGCCUCAAGUUUCAGAGAGUGCAAAGAGUCUUGUUCGGCAGAUGUUAGAACCGGAUCCUAGGAAACGGUUGACUGCUCAACAGGUGCUCGGUAAGUUCUCUGGCAGUUCCUUAUCAUACUGAAUUUCCAGUUGGUAUAGAGAGGACGCGCUAAUUGCGUGCUUAGCUAAAAGCAUUUAGAUAGCAUUUGAGGACCCAAAGUGCUUGCUGCCUAAAUGUUAUAAAUUAUUGUUAUAAAGAGUGAGGUCAGGGUCAUCUUGACAGUACAGAUCCUUCCAUAAUGAAUUUGAGCAUUGAGCUUACUUUUAUGCAGUGUAUGGGUUGGGUUUAUAGCAUUUGGCAUCUGAAAAUGACUCAACAUUGUACGCAACUUUGUGCGGUCAAAUGCUGACCGUGUCAAAUGAUGACAUAUGUAUACAUUUAUCUAGUUUAAAUUUUAGUAUAUAUUCUUCCGAAUUUAUAAGGGAAAUGAUAUUGAAGUGAGCAUAGUGGGGCACUAUGAUCUGUACUCAGUGAGUUACUCAGAAGAAGUUUCUUUUGCAUGGAAAUAUUUCACUUUUUAGAAUUUCUAAUCAGCAGAAACCUUUCUUUUGGUCACAGAACAUCCCUGGUUGCAAAAUACAAAGAAGGCUCCGAAUGUUCCAUUGGGAGAUAUUGUGAGAGCCAGGCUCAAGCAGUUUUCAGUGAUGAAUAGAUUUAAAAAGAAGGCUUUACGGGUAAGUAUUGUUAGGCAGAUUAUGUGAUUUUGUCAGUUAAAAUCCAAAACCGUUGUGCCAUCAUGCAAUGUGCAAGUUCCUGCAGGUGAUUUAGUUUUGUAAAUGCUGCAGGUAAUUGCUGAGCACUUAUCAGUAGAAGAGGUUGAAGUAAUCAAAGAUAUGUUCGCAUUGAUGGAUACAGACAAUGAUGGAAAAGUUUCGUACGAGGAGCUUAAGGCCGGCCUUCGAAAGGUCGGUUCGCAGUUGGCUGAACCAGAGAUCAAGAUGUUAAUGGAAGUGGUACGGUCCAGUUUUCACUUUGAAGCUGUUCUACUAGCAUGCUGCAAGAACUUGAAUGUUAACUUGUGUUUUCUGUGUUGCGAUCUAAUUUUUUUCAGGCUGAUGUUGAUGGAAAUGGAAUAUUGGAUUAUGGGGAAUUUGUAGCAGUGACAAUCCACUUGCAAAAGAUGGAAAAUGACGAGCAUUUCCGCAGAGCAUUUAUGUUCUUUGACAAAGAUGGGAGUGGAUAUAUUGAAUUGGAUGAGUUACGGGAUGCAUUAGCUGAUGAAUCGGGUGAAACUGAUGUUGAUGCACUGAACGACAUCAUGCGUGAAGUCGACACUGACAAGGUAUAGCUUCCAUUUUCUCAAUAAUUUUCUUUUCUUAAAUCAUUUUCAGUUUCAUGGUGCUUAAAAUCUAUAUACCUUUGAUUAUUCAGGACGGGCAAAUCUGUUAUGACGAAUUUGUUGCCAUGAUGAAAGCCGGCACUGAUUGGAGAAAGGCAUCGAGACAGUAUUCAAGAGAGAGGUUCAAGAGCUUAAGUCUUAACUUGAUGAAAGACGGUUCCUUGCAGCUCCAUGAUGCUGUUACUGGCCAAGCUGUUGCUGUUUGAGGUAAAUGGGAUCGGUCGACUUAGUCAUGCUUGUGCCUGCUUGAUAUUUCUCUCUGACCAUUUAUUGUUGAUAAACGAUCUACAUAUAUCCGAAACAUACCGCACCAGUGACCUCACGGAAAUGGCAUUUAGGGUUCAAGUUUAACACAGUUUUUUGGAUGGCAGACACAAUAUUCUUCCGUAACAUGUUUACGUGGCCUGGGUUUGAUUGUUUUCUUUUUGCUGCUGCAUGAAGUGUGCAUUGAUCGGAUAAAGUUGCCAGCUGCUGGUUGUUAUUAUUUGUUUGUCCUAAAGUUAUCAUACUCGAUACAUAUUCAGAUACGAGUAUGAGAAUAUGAUUUUCUGAUAUGAGAAUAUGAUUUUCUGAAUUCAGCAUAUAUUUACUGAAUACGUAUUCGUAUUUGACACUCACUUUUGAUGAGUCUUAAGAUAGGAUAGUUGUUAGUAGAAUGUGAAGGGCAUGUCCGUGUAUAUUUUUGUUUUGUUUUGUCUUUU